UGAUUUACAAAUAAAAUAGUCCAGGAGGACCAAUGUGCGAAGCGUGCUAGCAUAUAGGGACUAGAACUGAGAAUAGCCCCAGCUCUAAAACGCAGCGCAGAGACAUGGACCAAUGCGAAUUCGUGCGCAAACUAUGGGGAAAAAAUUAGAAAAAAGGGAAGUACACAUGCAGGCUAAUUUGAAUAGGGUGCGAAUGGGGAGGGACUGAUAUGGCAAAUAAUCCCUCACCGCAAAAACACGCGGGUCAUCUGGGCAGCAAACCGGAUCGGGUCGGGCGCAUAGGCUUGUGCGACGCCGUUUUGGGGCCACGGUAGUAAGCCUCAAACGACGUCGUCCCCCACAGGUAUAAAAAUCCCCUUUCAUGCCAGAUUUCCAAAGCUCCCAAACCUUAGCCCCUUUUCAUCAGCCACACCUCCAUUUUCUCCCUCAAAAAGCACCAGCCAGCCGCAAGGUGCGGUGACCGACGCCCAAGCUUUGAAGUAUGGCCCAUUUUAGCCACAGACCCCCUCCUAUCUCCGAUUGCAACGAAGUGAUAGGGGAUCGACGGCCUAGAAGCGAGGUAAGUCCUCUCUUUUUCCUUUUUCUUUUAUUUAGAUGUAAAGAACGAAAAAGAAAAUAAAAAAGGAGUAGAUCGAGAGAGAAAAAAAUGUAAUAAACUCGAGAUUCAAAGCAAAAAAUCACCUUACUCUGUUUUUUUUGCUUUUUAUUGCUUCUGUAUGUGUGUAACCCUACAACUGAUGAAAUCCCCUGGCUUUAUAGCCGAAUGGGGUAAAAAUAAAAAGAAAAAUAAAAAAAUACAAUGUUCUUCGUUGUUUUGUUUGUUUUGCUGUGCGUUUGUCUCUUUUCUGCAGGUACAGGGUGCGUGGCGCUCGGGUACGGGGCUGUGCUGGCGUGUGUACGGGAGCCAUGCUGGCGUACGGGGACUUGGCGUGGUUGCUGGAGGUGUUGUACAGCGCCUAGAGGUUGCAGGGGCUGCUGCGGCGCAAGUAGAAAGCUACUAGGGUUUAUCGGUUUAGACAUUGGGCUUAUUAGGCCUAUUUUGGGUCAAGUAUAGGUUUAGGUAAUGGGUCUGUAACUUGGGUCUUGGGUUUAAUACCGGGCCUAUGUAAUUGGACUUUAAGCAUUUAAUGGACUGUUAUAAUUUUAUUUAUUUUUAUUUUUGGUUUGUUUUUGUUUUUUUUGUUUUUAUAUGGGUCGGGCAAAUUUGGCCUACUACACUAAUCAUAACAAUGUAAACUUAAUGAUCUAACAGACAAUAUCACUAAGGGUGGGUUUGGAUGGGCGAUGGGAUGUAAUACGGUGCGUUUAGCUUACUUUACACUAAUAGCAAGUAACACUAACAGCAAAUAAUAACGUAUCAUCCAUCUAAAUCCACCCUAAAUAAUGAAGGACAAGACCACUGCUAGAGUAUAAAAUAAUUAUAUAUUUACACAAACGUAUUAAUUAUCUUGAGAUGUGUUAAACUAUUGUGCAAUAGUAUAUCCUUCAAGAUUCAAUUUAAAAUCUAAUAUAAAACAAUCUUAUAUAAACAUCACCUUAAAGAUGAUUCUUUAAAGAUGUGGGAUUAUGAAAAUCUUUGAAUUCAAAUCCUAAUUGAUGUCAAAAGAAUAAAGAAAAAAAUUAACAGUAGAAGUACCACAAAACCUCUUGUAUUACACCCUAAAUUAAAUUUUAGCUCUUUUAUUAAAAAAGAAGAAGAUAAAUUGGCUCAUGUAUGUUAGAAGAGUGAGCAAAACAACCAUUCUAUUAAAAUUUGGUGUUUAUAUAUAAGGUAUAAUAAUAAAUUUAGCCAUCAAUAUUUACACAUUUAUUCAAUUUGACCCCUACUAUAUUAUUGGAAGUAAAUUAGAAAAUUUUAAAACUAAUAAGGCUAAAGGAUGGAAAAAGCCUUAGUAGCAAAUUAAAAUAAAAAAUCAAUUAAGCCCUUUUAAAGUUUAAAAAAUUAUUAAAAAAUCAUAAAAACUAUAAACAAAAGUUAUUAAAAAAAGUUAUAAACAUUUUAAAAUUAUAAAUAUUUUAUUAAAAAAUAACAAUACUUACCUAUUAAAAUCUAAUGGUUAUAAUUUCUUUUUUGAAAAAAACUGACAUCUACUCUUUUAAUGGGUCGGUAUUGUUAUUUUUUAAUUAAAAAAAUUAUAAUUAUUUUUUUUAUUUUUAAAAGAGCUUAAUUGAUUUUUUUUAAUUUAUAUCUAAUGCCUUUUUUACCCUUUAGCCUUAUUAGUUUCAAAAUUUUCUAAUUUACUUCCAAUAAAAGAGUAGGUGUCAAAUUGAAUAAAUGUGUAAAGAUUGAGGGCUAAAUUCCUUAUAUAUAAAUAAAAAAACAAACAUUUAACGAUACAAUUUAACGGAAAUGCUGUUUGCUCACUUAUCCAACGUACAUGAACUCAUUUAUCUAUUUUUUCAAUAAAAAAACUAAAAUACAAUCUAGAGAAUUUUGGUACUUUUACCCACAAUAAAACAUGCUAAAGUAAAUAUUUAUUAUUUUAAUUAUUAAAUGUAAUGUUUUAUAAUUUUUUUUUCUUCAAAAUUGAUUACUAGGCAUCAUUUAGAUGAAAGCACUGUAUGUUGACAUGAAGUAAUGAUUUCAUAAAAUAUUUAUUAUAGACUAAGAUGUUUACUUCUUCAUUUUCAACAAGGGCUAAAAAGAAAAAAAAUUGUAUUUAAUUCCUUUUUGAUAAAAUAUAAGGUUUUGAAAUUAAAUUUAUAAUAUGGAACAUGAUGCUAAUUUUUCAUAAUUCAAUAACGAGUCAAACAUUAAAAGGAAGUAAAAAGAAAAAAAAAUCUUUUUUAUGAGUGACAUCCCUACAAUGCAAAAUUUGGAGGGGGUGAAACAUAAAACUUUGGACUUAUUUGAAUCCGACCAAAUUAUACUAAAACCCAUUUGAAAGCAAUUGAUGAGGAAAGCUUUGACAUUUUGCAAAAUUUGGAGGGGGAAAAACAUAAAACUUUGGACUUAUUUGAAUUUUGCUAUUUUACACUAAAACACAUUUAAAAGCAUUUGGCGAGGAAAGUUUUGACAUUUUCAAAAUAAGAUAGCAAUUAUACCCAUUUUUCCCAUAAAAAAAAAACAUAUAUAUUAUACCCAUACCCAACUCAAACACAUGACACCACAAGAAUCUGUUUAAGAAAUACUCAUGAAUGGCCCUUCAUCUCAUUCUAGUGGCAACCACUCGCAUGCUUCCCCAGAAGAUCACUCGUCCUUAACUACUUGUUAAUAGCGGACCUCCUAUCAAACCACCUACUGUUAACGGGUACACGCUCGUUAAAACAAGACCAAUUAAGCAAAAGUAAUGUCAGAGUCGUCCUACACUUGCCAACAACCAGCAUAUAAAGACCUCGCCACUUGGCCAACCACACAUUUGCUAUACAUCAAGAUUGUUGGUGUUGUGAUGUAAUUGAAUAGGAGACUCCCUACCUAUAAAUACCUCAAAGUGCAAUGAAUGAGAGAUCUGACUCCCUUUUAGCAACCCUAGUAGCAUACCUAGCUCACAAUUUCCCUUAUUUUCUUCUUCCACCUUUCUCUCAUUGUUUACUCUGGCUUUUCGCUUGCCACAAGUGAUUUGACUUUCUUAUCUUUAUUACCAUCUUUGUUCUGUCUUACCCUUGCUAAUAUCCAAUAUCAACAAUAUAUAUAUAUAUAGGAUAAUUAUUUUAUAAACAAUUAGUGAAAUUUUAAAAAAAAUCACAUCCUAAAUAAGGGUAGUCGAAAAUUUUAUAGUGAGGGAUCAAAAUUGAAUUAUAAAUUUCUGAGGGGUCAAAAUAAAAAUUUUACUAAACAUAACGUUGUAAACUUUAAGUGUCUAAAAAGACAAUACCACCCCUAAUCCUAAAUUAUCUUGUAAAAUUCUCUUAUUACAUUAAUUAUUCAUAUAUAUACUUGUAAAGCAAAAAUUUGCACAUUUAAAACCCAAAAAAUGGCUCCAUAUAAAAAGCUAAAUGAAAUGACAAAGGCUACAUCAAGACCUAUAUGUAUGUAGUUCAAAGUUGAAAUUGAUGCCAAAAGGAAAAAGAAAAUAGACACAAUAAUCAUGAUUAUUUUUAAAAUUAUUCAGGCCUAACCUAAUGAUAAUCUGUGCUUCAAACACUGUAUUCUGCAUUUGUUGAACAUUAAUGUAGUAGUGGGGUUUGGUAGUAGCUAAGAACAUCAAGUAUGAAUGUGUAAGAACACUGCUAAGUUUGAGUUGAUGGGUAAAUAUUGCCAUCAUUAAUUAAUUUUCCUUUUUAUGUAGAUGGAUUCGAUCAACAAUGUGUUGUUUUUUCUUUUGACUUUUUGUCCAAUAAAUAGAUGAGUUGCUAAUUGUUUUUAUGUUGGGGUUAAAAUAAAAAUAAGAAACUUUGAAAGGGUUAAAGUUAAAAUAAUUUUAAUUAAAUUAUUCAAUUUUUGGAGGAGUCAAAAAAGUAUAAUUUUUUUCCUUUUUCCUUUACCCAAAAUUAGAAAGAUUAAAUUGAACUAUUAGUUUUUAAUAUGUAUUAAAAGUGCAAUUACACCAUUUAAUUAAGGGAAUAAAGGGUCUUACCCCUAAGCUUUGUCCUCGUUUUUUUUUUCAGCACUAUUAUUCUCCCUGGUUUUUAAAGCAUGCUUUAAAUCUCAUACUUAUAAACAUGAGAAAAAAACGAAAUAGGAUUAAAAAUAUGAUAUAAAUGUCAAGAAUACAAUAUUAUUUUAAAAUUUAUAUAUUAAAAAUAUUUAAUAUCAAAAUUUGUAUAAAUAUAAUACUCAAAACAUGACCAUUAUAUAAAAAAUAAAAAGAAGAUAAUUGUUAAUGCAAGUCACCGAUAAGGAGGAGAUGUCGGUGGAGAGAAGUACAAAUUCAUCUGUAACAGGCGAAGAGCCGGAGUAAGGAGAAGAAGAAAAAUUGUUAGGGUUGUUGUGUAGGAUUUUUUAGAGGAGAAUGAGUCAACCCUUGAUCUCUCGUGAACUCAAGCUUAUAUAUAGGGGAUUACCCCCUAUCUUAUAGCAUCAUGUAGGCGAUAGUAUAGUGUCCUGCAUAGUUGUGCGUGUUAGUCAGAUGAUAGAGUAAUUAAGGUCAGUUGUCUUCAUGGAGUGUAAUAUGUGGUUAUGCUUUGACAUUCUCGUCCUUAAUGUUGUACAAGAGGUGCACAGCAAGUUGUCACUAGGUUGCCCCAUACAAAUGAUUGAUACGGAUGGCUCCUUAGUGAGGAUUGUAUGUAGACAAUUCCUAAUAGAAGAUCAUUUACGGACUGUCAAACAACUUGUCACAUAUCAUGCUGAAGCAGGGAUAUAACAAUAAUAAAAAUACAGAGUUUAUUGUUUUUAUCAAAUGGUUAAAAUUCUAAAAAGAAAAAAAGGGGAUAUUUUUACAUAAAUGGAUUUCCAAAGAUUUAGAAAGGAAAUUGUAUUUAUUAUUCCAUUGGUUAAUACAUUAACAAAUUACAACCAAAAGUAGAUAGAAAACAUGUGAAUGUGUCACCAAAUCUGCUAACUACUGAGGAGGUUUUCUCCAUUAAUAACAAGUCAAUAUUGAAAACACCCCACACAUACAACUUAAUUUAUUUAUAGAUGGAAAAAUUGAUAAUAUUUCCCUUUUUGUUGGAAAGAUUGUUAACAAAGGACAAAUACCUCCAAACAAAGAAUAAAAGUUUUGAAAACGACCACUUUUGAACAAAUUUAUUUUUCUUUUGUUUGAAUUUCAUCAAAAUUUCCAAAGAUUUUUUUUUCUAGGAAAUUAUUUAAGACUAAUUUUUAGGCUCCACGAGUAAGGGUAAGAAUUAAAUUAUAGGUUUUUGAAAAGUUAAAGUAUAAUUUUAUUAUUUAUGAACUUAUAAUCUCACCAUUCCGAAAGGAUUAAACAUAAUUUUUUUUAAUGGGCCAAAAAAUUUAAAAUAAGUAAUUUUAAUAUAUACGUCAUCUUAAUAUUGCAUGUGAAAUUUUUAUAUUUUACAGUAAUGUAUUAAAUACUAAUCCUAUUUUUAUUAACUAAAAAAAUCCAAGACUUUUUUCCCCAAGUUUCCUCAUGAAUAAAUUUGAUCAUUUAGAAAAUUAAUUAUGUUGUUAUUUUUAUUAUAUAAAAAACAAAAGGGUAAACUAUACCUGUCUAUCCUAUUUUAGUCACUUCAAUUUUUUUUUUUAAUUUAGUCACUCUAAAUAAGAUAAUUGUGCGAAUUAGUUAUUGUCAUUAAAAUUUCUAUUUUCUCUUAACGAUUGUUAACGUGACACAUUGCUCAAUUGUUAACUUUUGACUAAAAUUUAGGGAGAAAAAGAUUUGCACUAACUAUAGGAAAGUCCCUAAACUUUAAUCAAAAGUCAAUAGAAAAUGUUACAUGUCAAUCACUCAAUGUGCUAAUGUGCCAAAUUAGCAAUCCGUUAAAAUAAAAACGCAAAGUUUAAUUGCAGUGACUAAUUCACACAAUUAUAUUAUUUAGAGUGACUAAAUUGAAAAAGAAUUUAAAAUAACCAAAAUAAGACAAACCCUGUUUUUAGAGUACAUUUUACCCAAAACAAAGCUACCAAUUAAAUUAUGAUAUCUAAAAAUUGUAAAGAAUUCAAAAUUGAAAAAAGGUGGAUGACAGUUGGGUGACAUAUGGUUUUAUUGUUUCAAUGGAAAUAAAAAUUGACCUUUUUCUUCUCCUAAUUAAUGUCUUUUUAUAUAAAAACAGCUUGCUCCAUUUAAGGACCAACUAAACUUCAUUUUAACAAUUUAAUCUUAGCCCUUUCCCAUUAAUUUAGGGUUUAAUUAGUAACAACCUUUGUUUUAAAAAGAUAUGUUCUCUUACUUAAUCUCCUCCCCCACACUAAUCACAAUACAUUAGGGAAAAAUUUUUCAUGUUUGGAAAGAAAUUUUAACUCAGAUUUUUCUCUUCUUUUUUUUUUACCUCAAACUUGAAAUUUACUUGAUCUAGAAAUCUCAAUGAAAGUUUAGUAUCUUUUUAGGUUUAAAUAUGCUAUAAAGACAUAUAUAUAUACUCUUGCCAAAUUUAAAAUUUAUUUUUUACAUUUUAAAUGUAAGGUGUUGAGUUAUUUAUUUUAAUUUUUUUCGGAUUUAACAACUUUUUUUUGGUUAAUGAGAUUGGCAUGAUUGGGUGAUAUUAGAAAAAUCUCGAGGGGUUUGGAAAUCUUGGUCACUUAAGCUCUAAUAAAGCAUAUUAUGAUAACAAAUUUAGCUCUUAAUACAUUUUGGCCUUAACUUGUUUUCUUUAUUACUUUGUCUUUCAAGUUUUAAAAUUUGGUUAAAUUGUCUUUCUUAGAUGAAAAAAUUGAUUGGAACGUUAAAAUUAUAAUAGCACGGACAUGGGAACGAGUAUGGUAAUUCGCAUGUAUUUCAAACAAUUUUAAAAAAAACUCAUGUAAAACUAUUAUGCAUGCUACGUACCGAUGUUAAAAUUUUAACAAAUUCAUAAACUUUUUCAUUAAAGUAUAUAAAGGACUAAAAUUUGAAGGUUGAUAGCUAAAGUGAUCAAAAGAAGAACGGAGAAUUAGGACUUAAGUGACCAAAUGAAUAAACGUUAAAGAGUUAAAUUUUGCCUUAUACCUAUACCUACACAUUCUAGUAAAUAAGCUCAAAACAAUAUUAUUUUUAGAAAUUAAAAAAAUUCGUCAGCUUUUUCCUUGUCAACUUAUCAUUUUUAUCUCGAUUCAACCUCAUUAAUUACAAAAUAGGCCGUAUUAACAAUUGGACCAACAAUGUUAAAUUUCAAAAAAUUACAAAAAAUCAAUGUCUUAAAAUUAAUAUAAUGAUUAAAUUUUAAAUUUCUCAAAAGUACAAACACUUUUGAUAUAUUUAAACUUUUUUAACAACUGAUUUUCUUUUAAAGAUUAUAAAAUAUACAACAUGACUCCUUUAUUAUUAAUUUUUACAAUAUAAAAAUUAAGAUUUCUCAAACCGGUCCCUAGAUGACAAAUCUUCCAAAAAUUUCGUUCCUUGAAUAUAAAUAAUCCAAUUGGGGGUAUUUUGUACAAUGGAAAAAGAAUAUGGAGAUACAAAUAUUGAUUUAUUUCUAGAUUACAAUCUAAAAUGAAUGAUAGUGUCUAUGAUGACAUCACUUAAUGUAUUUGUGCCAUGAUUUAGCUUUAUUACAAAAUUUGAAGUUGAAAAAGAAAGUAAAAAAGGUUAUUGAUGUGAUUAAAUAGCUAAUUUGAAAAUUCUUAAUUCUUUUGUUCUAUUUCAAUCAAUUUACCUUUUAAGUAGUUUCCUUUUUUGUUGAUAAAUGAAGGGAGCCUCCCCCAAAACAUAAUCAAAAUCAAGCCAAAUUUAAUUUACCCAUUAAAUUUCAGUAAUAAAUGUGUGACGAGGAAUUAAUUAGUAACCCAUGUGUUUUGAAAUUAAAUAUAAAUAAAGCCUUUAUCAAAUCAAACAAUUGAUUUUUACCUCUCUUCGGAUUGAUAUUUAAACUGAUUCUUUAUCUAACUAAUAUUUGGUGUUAAUGUAGAAUCAUUUUAACUAAACUCAAAAUGUUCAAUCAAAUGAUACAACCUCUUGUUUUGAAUCGAUAUCCCAAUUGUUCUGAAUUCGAUUCUCAAACCAUGACUAAACAUUUCAAGGUUCAUGAGUGUUUCAAUCAAUAUUAUCAUCUCAAAGAUUUGAACUUUAAUUCUCUUUGAUAAUGAAAUAUAUCUUACUACUACACAAAACACUCAUCAAUAAUCACGAUGCAAUAUUAUCAUAACAUGUAAUAAUACGAUGAAAAAUAAUUUAAAAAAUUUAAAUUGUUAAUUUUUAUAAUAAAUUAUUUAAAAUAAAGAAAAAUGAAAAAGUGAGAAAAAAAAAUACCAAAGCUUGAUUAUAUAGGGGUAGGGUGUUUGGUGGAACUUUUUCAAGGCCAAGUUUUGGUUAACUUUGGUCAACACUGUCCAAAACCAAGAAGGAAAAAUGGUUGAAAUUAGGGAAAAAAAAAUUCAUUAAAUUCCUAGGUUACCCUUUUUAUGUCCAUAUUCUGUAAUAAAAAAAACACAUACAUCAACACCAACAGGUAAUAAAAGGAAACCCAUUUCAUUUUAACUCAACACUGCUAUACUCUGUUUGCCCAAAAAGAAAGAAAGAAAUAAUUAUUUAUUUAUUUAUUUUUCCAAAUAAUAUGAAAAUUAAAAUAAAAUAAAAAAAGAAGACAAGGACAAACAAGACCCCAACAACACAAAAAAGAAAAAGAAAAUUAAAAAUAAAAAAAGGGGAUGAAAAACAUGAAAGUGAUACCAAAACUAGAACCCUUUUAAAGCGCGUGAAGUAUACUCUCCAAUCACCUGUUGGUGACAACCAGUGUCAGGUAGUAAAUGUUUUCGUACGUUUGGACUUUGGUGUUACUUUCAUUACACCAGUUUACAUCAAGACAUCAACAUCUAUCCCUUCUUUCACUUGUUCCCCACGCUCAUCUCGACGGCGCGUUAAAGCGCGUGGUUAUAUAAUUUUUUCUCUCUGUUUCCCUCGUAUUCUUUCCUUUAGUUUUUUUUUCUUCUCUUACCUUACCCUACCCAUUUCACCUCUCUCACUUUCUCUCUUUUUUUACUUUGAAAUUUCAAAAAGAGAGAGAGAGACCCAAUAACAAAAAAACUGCAUGGAAAGUCGCCGGGAAAUCAAGAUCCGGCCGGUGCCGGUGGAUUUUCCCGGUUAAAUGCAAUAACCCUUAAGAUGUUGUCGUUUAUAUAAUCAGAAGCGUUGCCAAAAUUACUUUGUUUUUGUUUUUCUCAUUUCGAGUUUAUUUGCAAUGGCUGCCACGACUAAUACGACAACUACUCCGCCGGACUCAGUGUCGGCCGAUGAAUUAGCAGCCAAGGCCGUACACAAGAGAUACGAAGGGUUAGUCAUGGUUCGAACGAAGGCAAUAAAAGGUAAAGGAGCUUGGUAUUGGGCUCAUCUUGAGCCUAUGCUUGUUCACAACACCGAUACCGGACUUCCCAAAGCUGUGAAACUCCGGUGUUCUUUAUGCAACGCCGUUUUCUCAGCUUCCAAUCCUUCAAGAACAGCUUCAGAACAUUUAAAGCGAGGAACUUGUCCUAACUUUAACUCCCUUGCUAAACCCAUUUCAUCUGUUUCACCAUCUCCGACAGCGAUGACAACUCCAACAGCAACACAAAGUAAUAGAAAACGAAGUUCAUCUUCCGUUACUGUGACAGCCACUGGUGGUGUCCUUGUUGCAUCGGGUUCUGGUUCUGUUUCAGGUUCAGGUUGUUCUUAUCAAGCUACUCCUUUGGCUAUUGUUGACCCAUCAAGGUUUUGUGGGGAGUUAGCUUAUUCACCCUCACCAGGUGCGGUUGUGACAGCAAGUGGUGGAACUGGAAACUUGUUACCACAACAACAACAUUUGGUUUUGUCUGGUGGAAGAGAAGAUUUAGGUGCUUUGGCUAUGUUGGAAGAUAGAGUGAAGAAGCUAAAAAGUCCUAAAGCAUCACCUGGACCAACUUUAAGCAAAUCCCAAAUUGAGUGUGCUGUUGGUUUUUUAGCUGAUUGGAUGUAUGAAUGUUGUGGGUCGGUUUCAUUUUCAAGUCUUGAACACCCAAAGUUCAGAGCUUUUCUUAACCAAGUUGGGUUACCACCAGUUUCGACAAGGGAGCUUGUUGGGUCUAGAUUGGAUGUUAAGUACGAGGAAGUGAAAGCUGAAUCAGAAGCAAGGAUUAGAGAUGCCUUGUUCUUUCAAAUUGCAGCUGAUGGAUGGAAAGUUAAGAACUUUUCUAGUGGAGAAGAAAGCUUGGUGAAUUUGACUGUGAAUUUGCCUAAUGGGACUAGUUUGUAUAGAAAAGCAAUUUUCUUUACUGGUUCAGUCCCUUCUAAAUAUGCAGAAGAGGUCUUGUUGGAGACAUUAACAGGUAUUUGUGGGAAUGCUGUUCAACAAUGUGCAGGGAUUGUUGCUGAUAAAUUCAAGACUAAAGCUUUAAGGAAUUUAGAGAGUCAGCAUCAUUGGAUGCUUAACCUUUCUUGUCAAUUUCAAGGUUUCAACAGUUUAAUAAAGGACUUCACCAAGGAACUUCCUUUGUUCAAGACAGUGACAGAGAAUGCCUUGAAGGUUGCAAAUUUCAUAAACAACACCAGUCAAAUCCAAAGUAGUUUUCAAAAGUAUCAGUUGCAGGAGUGUGGGAUUGCUAGGUUACUGAGAGUGCCUUUGCGUGAUCACGAAUUCGGACCGGUGUACACAAUGGUUGAAGAUAUACUGAACUCUUCUCCAGCACUUCAGUUGGUUCUACUCGACGAAACGUUUAAGUUGGUAUCCAUGGAAGAUCCGGUUGCUAGGGAAGUUGCGGAGAUGAUUCGAGAUAUGGGGUUUUGGAACGAUUUAGAAGCGGUGCAUUCGCUGGUUAAAUUGAUCAAAGAAAUGGCUCAUGAGAUCGAGACCGAAAGACCACUUGUUGGACAAUGUUUACCACUUUGGGAUGAACUUAGAACCAAAGUGAAGGAAUGGUGUUCAAAGUUUCAAAUUCCAGAAGGUCCAGUAGAGAAAGUGAUCGAAAGACGGUUCAAGAAGAACUACCACCCAGCUUGGUCCGCCGCGUACAUUCUCGAUCCUCUUUAUUUGAUUAAAGACAUGAGUGGAAAGUACCUUCCUCCAUUCAAAUGCUUGACACCAGAGCAAGAAAAAGAUGUUGACAAGCUCAUAACCAGGCUUGUAUCAAGGGAAGAAGCUCAUAUUGCACUUAUGGAACUUAUGAAAUGGAGAACCGAAGGGCUUGAUCCGGUAUAUGCACGAGCAGUACAAAUGAAGGAGCGGGAUCCCAUCACUGGGAAAAUGAAAAUUGUUAACCCUCAAAGCAGUAGGCUCGUAUGGGAAACGUAUCUAACCGAGUUCAAGUUCCUCGGAAAAGUUGCAGCUAGGCUUAUAUUCCUACACGCAACUUCAUGUGGAUUCAAAUGCAACUGGUCCAUGUUAAGAUGGAUAGCAGCUCAUGGACAUUCAAGGGUAAGCAUUGAAAAAGCUCAAAAGUUGAUAUUUAUCGCAGCACAUAACAAGCUCGAGCGGCGCGAUUUUUCCAGCGACGAAGAGAAGGAUGCACAGCUUUUCGCAUUAGCAAACAAUGAGGAUGAUGUGCUAAAUGAGGUUCUUGUUGAAACAUCCUCAGUGUGACCUUUUUUUUCACCAUUUUAGAAAUUUGAAAAAAAAAAUUAGGAUUAUUUGAAAUUCUUUUUACUAGUUUUACUUAUUUUAGAAGAUUUUAAGAGAGUCAAGUGGGAAGGAAAAAAGGGACUGAUUGUGAACUAAACAUUGUAUAUUUCCCACCACUGUUGAGCUUGAUUUUGGGGCUUUUGGAUUUGCAAAAAAAAAGUCUUCUUGUUUAUUAAGAAACACAAAUGUUGCUUGAAUAUACAAGUUCAAGAACAGGAAGAACAUUUGUAAAUUCUUUUCCUCUUAGCAUUUUUGAUUAAACAAAAUAAUAUCUAUAAAGGGGAAAGAUUUAUUUUGGUAUGAACACGAAAAAGUGGUUCCUUGUCUAGGCGGAUUCGCCAUUUUAGUGUGUUCUUUGAUGUAGUAAUCAAUCUUUUGAAGACAAAUUACCUUUCUGUCUGAAAAAGGUUUUUCUUUAUUUAGAUGAACUGAAACUUUUUAUAAUUGAUAUAAUGGAAACAUAACUGGUCCCUUGUUCUUUCUUUUAAAUAUUUAUUUGAAAUUUGUGGGUGCUUUGUAUGAUUGAUCAUCUCAUUUCCUUUAGCUUGAUCCACACUCUUUGUUUAUACAAAUUUCACACAUGUCCGAUUUCGUUAUCAUUUGCCCUUUUGAGUGUAUGGUAAAAUGAUUGGGAGGAAGACUAAUUCUGGUCUUUGGUACUAGAAAUUUUGCUGCUUAAUGGUCCAUUAUAUGUGAUAUUUAGACAGGUUCCAAGCUUAGGUUCGUUCUUGCACCCAAGACAGGUCAUUUGCCUGGACCAUGCUCGUAUCAGUCCAACAGAUACCCGAAUUCCAUAAGGUUUCUGCCUUUUGUAUGUCAAAAUGUGUUUAGUUUCUAUGACUUGUGAUGCAAGGAAGCAUUUUUUGGUAGGUUUUCAUUUCUUCUUUGAACACACUUAGUAUAAGGGUUUCUAUGAUAUUUUUACUGCUGAAUGUCUCUUUUGGUUUGGCAGAAGCAUGUGACUUGAGAUUUUGUCAGGCCGGAGAGACCAAUGUGAAAGACGGUUGCUUUUGGGCAGAAAGAAGUAUAUGUUCGCCCACGAACCGGUUGGGUGGACACUGCAAAGGCGAUGUGGGACAGGCAACCUCAGAAGGACACCGAAGACCAGACCAUUCUAGCUGGAGAACCACUUCUAACUGUUUCCAUCUUAUCUUACAAAUCUCCUGUUUUUUUGUCUUUGGGGGAGAUUAGAUUGUCCCACCAUGAAAGAAGUGGAAGUCUUUUUCUAAGCUUUGGUUUGUUCCCCCCCCCCCUCCCCUUUUUUUUACACAUCAAAUCAUCUUUGAGGGGUAACUUGUCUUUUAAACAUUCCAAACCUCAUAAUGGACAUGCAAUGUUAUUGGUUAAUGCCAUCCCCCCAUGAUUGCAAGAAAGGUCUUAAAAGAGGACCCUCCUAAACACCACCAUGGAGAAGAGAUCCUACAUUGGUUCCUCCAUUACUUAAGCCAUAUUUACCAUAUCUUCACUGUAAAAAAGUUGGGUCAGUGAGAAAGCUGUGGAAGAGAUUACAACAGGUAGUUUUUGUGUCAAAAAAAAGGAAAAAGAAAAGCAAGCUCAAAAGAGUAAAGGGCAUUGAGUUGCAGAGCAGAUAUAUAUAUAUUGUAGAUAUUAAAGGAGGCAGAUAAGGAGUGAAUUGAAAAUGGCAGGUUAUCAACCAAAUUGCACUUUCUUCUAAUUAUAGUAAGCUAACACUGUUCAAUGUUGGAACCCUUCAUGGAAACAAAAUAUGUAUUGUUCAAGAAACUAUCCGGCUUUUUUUUUUUAAUAUAAAAUUUAGCAUUUAAUAUAUUUAUAUAUUAUCAAUUUAGUCUUUAUUUUUAAAGCUAAAUUUUCUUCUUCUUUUUUAUAAAAGAGUUAACCUCACUACUAACAUUUUAAAUAUAUUUUUAACGAAAAUAUUGAUUAACACGUUAAAUUUUGAAACUUAAUAAGUUUGUAUGACAAUUUGUGUACUUCAUACUAUUUUUUAUAAUUUUUAUUUUUUAAAUAUUUGUUGAUUUAAUAUAAAAGAUAAAUAGUGACAUGCCAGGCUAAUUACUAAAUUUAACUAAAAACUAAAGAUUAAAUUAACAGAAAUUUUUUGAAAACUCUCCCUUUUGGUGCAUAAUGCUUCCAUACAAUUGGAUUCACCCCCCACCCAUCCACAGUUAAAAAAGCAAAGAUGGUAAAAAAAAAGUGAAGUAAAUUUAUGUUAAUUAAUGUUCUAUUUUACCAUAAAAUAUAUACAGAUAUUGUUGUCGGCAAGAAUUGUUUAAUGCUGACUGCUCACCAAACUCAUCUACUAAUCUUUUCUUUUUCUCAUCGUAUGGUAUGCUUUACUCCACUCGUUUUUUUUUUUCUUUCUGUUUGGUUAAAAAGAAAAGAAAAGAAAAUAUAAUGAUUAGUAUAGGACGACAGACACUUUUCUUUAUACACAGAAUCUUUGCAUCUACCAAUGCUUAAUAAUCAUCAUACAACACCCUCUCUUUAUAAAUAUAUAUUUGCACUUUAUUCUUGGUUUUACUCAUUGAAGUGCUCAUUAUUUUCUUUUGAAAUUUUCUCAGCUGCCCAUUAGCUACCUCCAUUAAAAUUGUCUCAGCUUGGUCAGUUUUUUGUCUGCUGCAUCUUCUUUUAUUUUGGUGCUCUAAUAUAAAUCGGUUGGAUUAAAUUUUAAGUGAAGUCAAAUCGAAUAUUUAAGUAGAUAAAAUCUUUUCGAUUUGUUUUUCUAUCGUAAACUCAAAUUUAAGAUUAUGUUUAAAUGAUAUUAAGUUCUUUAUCACUCGACUUAACAAAUGUUUAAGGUACUAAAAUAAAUCCUAAACAAUAAACUUUAAACUUUAAUUCUUGAACCCUACACAUAAAAUACAUUAUCAUGUUCAAGGGUAUCCAAAUAAACCCUAAACCUUAAACUCUAUGCAUAAAAAGAUAUUACUUUUACUAUACAAAUUCAAGAUCAUGUGUACGGGACAUCCAAAUAAACCCUAAAUGCUAUAUACAUAAAAACACAUUCAUUUUACUAUACAAAAUUUAGAUCAUGUUCAAGAGGCAUCAAAUAAGUCCUAAAACUUCAUACUUUCGUACAAAAUCAUACAAAUUUAAGGUCAUGUUUACGAAUACUAAAAUAAACCUAAAACUCUAAAUUAUAAAUCUUAAAUUCUAUACUAUACAAACUCGGGACACUAAAAUAAACUCGAACUUUUAAACCCUAAACUUUACUUUUAUUAUAUAAAUGGCAUUCAAACUUUAAACGUUAAACCUAAAAAAAAAAAAUCUUACUUUUGUUAUACAAAUUUGAGAUGAUGUUUAGAGGGGAUUGAGGUGUUUAUCAAUGUGCCUAAUAAUAUACUUAUAUAUGAUAUACUUCUUUUUAUGUAUAAAAAACUUAAGUUAUUUUCAGUGACUGUUCCCUCACAUGGGGAUAUUAGACAUAUAAUAAUCAGCCUUUGUUUUGAGUAAAAUUAGAUUGUUUUAUAUUAGAUUUUUACAUACUGCCAAAAAGCCUUACCUCUUUAUGUUUCUUUUACCUGCACCCUCAGUUGAGUUAAUUAUUUAUGUCUUCAUCUGUCUAAGAUAUGAAAUUUUUUAAAAAAAUCUAUGUACUUUUUUUGCAAUGUGGUCCUAUGCCUAUUGAUCCCAUAAUUCAUGUAUAUAAAAAAUCAUGAUUACUUUCUAUAUAUUUUUAAUAUUUUUAUUUUUAUAAAUUUUGGAAUUCCUAUCAUUAAUUCAUAAAAAUAGAAACUAUCAAAAUAUUUGUAAAAAUAUGAUGCAAGUCAAACCUUUGAAAAAUCAAAUUAAAUUAGUAUGAAUUUCUAUAUUAAUUAAUUAAAAAUUAUUAGGAUUUUUUAUUUUGAAAAAAAAGGGGGAAAAUUUCAUAAUUACAGCUCAAACUCUUUAAAACAUAAUUAAUUACAGUCAACUGUUUAGAUCGCAAUUCUCCAAUUAGAAUCACUUUUACAUUUAAAGAAAUUUUCAAUACUUACGCGUUAAAAUAAUGAUGUGUCACAUCAUUAAAAAAAUUAAUUAUAUUUAAUUAAUUUUUUAUUUUCACACAAAAAAAAAAGAAAUUAAAAAAAUUGCGGUUAUAAUGAUAUGAGGUGUGUGUUACAUAUAAUUCGACGGCACGUGUCACAAUCAUGUGCUUUGUAUGAUGGUUAUGUUAUCGUACGGUAGGGGUCCACGUGAAAGAAACAACAAUCAUGCCCUUUGAUUCUAAAAUCAUCAUGAUGGGUUCGUUUUUAGCCCCAAUUUUGAUGAGCUACGAUUCGCAUCAGAGCCGUCUAUAUGGAGAGGGACCACGUGUACGGUCUCGAUGGUUUUAUAAAAGUUAUUUUCAGAUGUUGACUGUCGGCACACAAAGAGCUUUCAAUAGGCCCCCCCCCCCACACCUCACCGCAAACAAAGGUAUAAUAAAUUCAGUUUUUAUUAAAUUUGAUUUUCAGUUCGCUUUAAUUAUUAUUUAAAUAUUUUUAUUCCAUCAACGAGAUUUUGACAUUGUUGGCAAAAUACAUAGACUCGAGUUUUUUCAUACCUAAUUGUUAUGUAUAAAUUUUCAAUUUCACUAUGUACAUUUGCUAGUUCAAUGUGUGAAUUGUAUUGAUAUAUACGUAAUUUGGUGUAAUUUUUUUAUGAUCAUAUCUAAUUUUCAGUGUACUCAAACCCAUAUUCUAUUGCAUUGAAAACAAUACUCAUAACAAUCGAGUUAAAAAUCAAUUUCUUUUUCAUUUAAUAAAGUAAACAUUUUUCUUAAAAUUCGACAAAAUUUCUCGUCUUAAUUUCUCAACCUUUUUUGGGUUUACAUUAGUCAUGAAAUUUAGCAACUAAAUUCAAUUUCGAUUCAUGUGAUGAUACGAUAUUUUGAUAUUUACUUCAUGGAUUCAGAGACUAAGUUGAAAAAAUUAAAAAGUUCAGGGGGCUAAACGUUGUUUUACCCAUUUUAAAAACUAAAAAAAUGUAUAAUAUUAAUAAUAAUAGGUUAUAUAAUUUAGGAGGUAGUGCGUUUGGGGAAAGUGAAAAAAAGAAAGAGUAGAAACCUUGACGCAACUAAAAAAAGACUAGAGUAUAUAAUAGAAUUGAGAAUAGGAACAGGAAUAGUCACGUGGUCAACUACUGUGGGGGAUGAUGAUUCAUGGGAUUUGGAUCUUAUUGGUCAAUCUCCGUACCAUCCACGCCACCAUCUUUUCCACACCUUACGUCACUUUUUUUUUUUAUGAGAUGUUUUUUUUAAUUCAAUAUUGCACGUUUUAUUAUUUAUAUUAUUAGAAUCCAUUCUAGUUGGAUGAUUUGGAUCUGCUUAUUCAUUCGCUAGGCAUUAAACAAAUCGUUUGUUAAUCAAUACCAAAUUGAAUUGAUUAUAAUUUUUAUUCAAUUAUAAAUCAUUUAAUUAAAUCAAUAAUUAAUGAUGAUCGUUGAUCUUGGGAGAAAAAAAAAUCGAUUAAAUUUUAAUUUAAUUGAUAUAAAAUUAUAAAUUUAAAAAUAGUUAUAAUUAAUUCUAGACGUUAUAUUUAAAAAAUAAAUAUAAAUAAAAUCUAUAAUGAAAUUAUUUAAAAAAAAAAACUGGACCCAUUUUCCUUUUAUGUAUGAUGUAUGACCCCUCAAACAAAAUGUAUGAUGUAUGGUGAUGGGUGAGGAAUAAUAAUACCUUACUCAAUGCCGUCAAUUUAGUGUAAAAGUUACAACUUUCAAAUCAUGUGCUACUAACAUUUAAGGCAAAAAAUUGGCAAUCAAUGCAUGGUCUCUCAUAUGUUGUUGUAAUUAUUUUGUACCCGUUACUAGUUUAUAUUUUUACUAUCCUAAAAGUAGUAAAGGUAUAUUAUCUAAAAUCCUGAAUGAAAAAGUUUAAAAUUUCAAGGACCAAAUUGAUAAGUAAAACCUUAAAUUUUAUAAGAUACUCAUAAAAUGGGUAUAAAAUAUUUUCUAUAAUUAUCACAAAAAUUCUCAUCAAAAUUCAUUCACGACUAUAUCUUGUCGCCCAAAAAAGAAAGCCCUGUAGUUUAUUGGUAUGUUUAAAUAGGGAUACAGUGGCUCUUUUAAAUAUACUUAGAUUAGACUUCUAAUUAUGCUAAAAUAUCUCUAGAAGAAACAGAAUCUAAUUGAGAAAAACAAUUUUGCUUGAAGUCUAAAACGCAGUUGCUAAAUAGGAGAACACAUUAUUACGUUGCAACUCGCAAUGUCCCAUUCGUCUCGUCACAAUAAGCCGACGUUCUUCGUCUUGACAUCAAGCUUAUUUUGACAUUUAUUCGAAUGCUCGUCGAUUCUCGUCUAAAAUUAUUAUAACGUGUCCAAUAAAUAUAAGUCACGCUCCGCAAUAUAUAUAAUCAUAAAAAGAAACUGAUAUUUCAGUCUCUAAUAAAGUAUAUAUAUAUUAUAAAGUAAUUUAAUAAUUAUAUCAAACAUUCUUAAAUAAUUGCACCCAUGUGACCAUCCGGGGAAUUUCGAGACAGACUCAAUAUGUUGCAACAAAGAGUCAUACAUCAUCACAAGAAAAAGUAUCUUCUUUAUUACUUUAAUUAAAACAAUUUUUUUAAAAAUAAAAAAUUAAAAUCAUUUUUAUAUUCAAUUUUUUUAAUAGAAUAAAAUUUCAAUCAUAAUAAAGUAAUAAAAACCUUCUUUUUUGAAGCUUAGCUUUCAAUUAUAACCAACCAACCAUAUUUUCUUUUCACUUAAUCUCAUAACUAAUUUGUUUUACUUAGUAUUUUAAUUACAAUGAUUAAACAAAUCUUUAAGCUAUUUUUUUAAGUUAUAGUAGAUUGGUUCACUAACUGUCCAUAAAUAUUCAAAUAAAAAUUGGAGUUUAAUAGGUUAAAAUAUAUUUCUUUUUGAUAAUCGGGUUUUAUGGCUAUAUUUCUUAAUAAUGUCGUUUUUAAUGUUUGAACUUAGAUUUUUCUUUUCGAAGUAUAAUGUGUUUUAUUAUUAUAUACUCAACCACUUCUUAAUAGUUAAAAUAGAUUUUGAGUCUUUGGGUUGUUUAUACAUUUAGAAUUUAUUUUAUUUUAUUUUUAUUUUAAGGAAUUUAGUCUUUUUAUUUUUUAGAUUUAAAAAUUUAAGACUUAUUUUUUUUGUCAUUUCCUAAGGUAUCUACUGGAGCAAGUCCAGUAACUAAUCAUCUGCAUUCUGUAAGGAGUAGAUGUUGGUCAUGAGUUUUAAAGCUGCUUCAUACCCAAAGCGAGGAUCGAAUCCUCGACCGCUAGUUAAGGUAGAAAGUAUUAUUUUAUUUUAAAUUAUCACACCAAUUAAUUUAAUAGAAAAAUUAAAUGGUGUUUAAUAUCUGAAUAUGAAAAAUAUGAGGAUUAAAAUUUUAAAAAUAAAAAUAAAAAAGUAAAUAUCACGAAAUGAGGUUAAUUUUAGUUUAAUUUUUAGGAGGAAAGUGGGUUUCAAUGAGUUGUUUAAUGGGGUGUGUUGAAAAACUCCUUGGUCUCCAAUUAACAUUAUUUGAUUGAUCAAAAAUUCAAAAUCCCUUAUUUUAUUUUUACUUUAUUUUUUUUAAAAAAAAAUUAUAAUUGUCAAUCUUGUUUGAUUUUAUUAUUAUUUCUUUAUGAGUACAAUUAUUUUAGUGGGUCCACAAGUAUAGUAACAUUAGGGGUAGGAUUUGGUAACCCAUUAUUUUCAUCAACUUAGACAUCUUAAAAUGUCUUCUACAUCCUAGGUUGAAAACUUGAAAUUAGGUUGAAAUUCUUUCCACAAUGGUAUUUUCGUCAUUUCCAAAAGAAAAAGGCUUUUGAGAAUUAAAAUAUUUAUUGGUAACGCUAACUUAUUAGCAGGCUUUAGAAAAUGAAAAAAAAAGAUUUUUUUUUUGGUCAUGCUGACUUAUUUGGGGCAAAAUGUGAAUUUUUUAUUAUACUAAUUUGUAAUAUUAUAAAUUUUGAAGGGAUAACAUAACAAUUUUCCCAUUUUUAAGGCCAAGCCACUGCGUAAAAGAAGGCAUCCUAUAAAAAAGGUAAAUUACUUGGUUCAUCACCCAAAAUUUUAAACACUUUUAUUUUAGUCACCUAAAUGAAAAAACUUGUAAUUUAGUUACUGCCAUUUCAAUAAUUAAUCGUUUUAGUCACCCAAUCAUUUUCUUAUUAAUGAUGUUUGAUGUGGCAUUACACUUCAUGCCCACAUAAGCACUCCUUGCUGGUAAAUAGUUUCCACAUAAUCCACAUAAUCAUGUCCACAUAAGAGCACUAGCUUGCAAGCCAGACCACAUCUUUGAGUUGCUUUCCAUGACUCGAAGGGUGAUCAUGCAUCCGUAGUUAGAGACUAUGAAGCAGCCUUAUGUCUUCAACCCAACCACUUUGAUACUCUCAAGCUAUAUUGUAACAUCCUCGUUAUGCCUCGGAGUUAAGAACAAUACUAAGUUGAGUUAGGAAUAUUAGAGAAUUUAUAAAAUAGAUAAAAUAUAAAUUUCGAGUAAUAGUAUAGAAAAUAGUUAAAGCUGGUAGAAAAUUAGAAAUACUUUCGAGAUUGGAAAAAUUAAUUCAAGGUAUUGACUUAAUUGUAGGAGAAUGAAAAGUGUUGGGUUAAAAGUAAGAAAAUCAACAGUUUAAAAUGAUUACAUUGAAUUAGAGGAAAAAGGAGGAAGAACCAGAAAUGAAAUUUUACCAAAGUAAAGUAUGAAUCAUGCAUGGUAUUGUAGAGAAAGUUGAAGGACUACAUGACAAUUACAUAAAUUAGAUAAUUAUGAAAAACUCAAUGAUUAAGGUCUAAAUUGUGUAAAAAUUUGAUUGGUGGAUUAUUUUGAUAUUUAUCAUUUUAAAUUUAUUAAAUUAAUUAGAUAUUUGUUUAGAAAAGUUGAGAAAGAUGAAGAGAUUCCAUUCAUCUUUCUCCAUUCCAAUGCCACUAUCUUUUUUUAUCUUUUGUUUCUAUUUCAAAUUGGUCCUUCCCACCAUAUCUAAGUCUUUCAAGCUCAAUUUCUCAAAUUUCUUCUGUGAACCCUUAGUGAAUUUAAUGGAGGAGUUUAUUAGCUACCCUAAUUUCAUGAAAAGAUAAUCAAUAGUUGAAGAGCUAGGAUCAAGGUUGUUGACGGCUCAUCUCAUCACAUCUUCAAGCUUGGAAGAGAGAAUGGUUAACAUUUUGGUUUUAGUUUUGGCAUGUAUAGGUAAUGUUGGUUAUAAAUGAAAUGUUUUAAUGGACCUAAAUAUAGAACUUGGAUACUUUUGUUUUAAUCUUAAAAGUUUUGCCUUAUUCAAAAAGAGUUUAUGAUGAACUAUGUGAUUAUUGAAAUUGAAAUUGAGCUUAUAUGGUUGAAUUGUGAAUCGGAUUGGUUGAAUUUUGAGUUUAGUGCAGGGACUUAAGUGAUAUAGAUUUUUAAAAUAUGUCAUUAUUUUUUAAAGACGUAAAAUAUAUCUAUAUAAAAUCACCUCUCUAAAUCAAUUUAACUAAAAUUAAAUUAUUUUGAGAAUAAAAAAAAUUAAAAAUUUCAAAAAUAAGAGACGAAGGUUGAAACUUAAGGUUUAUUGAAAAGAAAAUUGAUAAAUAGUAAAACUAUAUAUGCAAUUUCAUCUAACGUACAUUGUCAUAUAUGAACAUUGAUUUUGUGCGAUUUUAUACAUAAAAUUUUAAUUUGAUUCAAUUUUCAUAAAUCACUAACAGUAUUAUGAAAUUAGCACCAUUUUAUGUUGAUAUAUUUAUACACAAACAAUUAUAUUCAUCCAAUAUGAAAUAAAUUUAUGUAUUCAUUUCUUUAAAUGUAUACAAUUGAAUCAAAAUUAAAUUUUCAUGUAUACAUAUAAACCACAAUUCAAGUUUCACGUGUAUAGUUACACUAAAUCAAAGUUUAUGUAUCAAAUUGCACAUUAAAUCAAAGUUCAUAUAUAAAUUUGAUAUUUAUUUUCAUCAAUUCUUUACCCAAUGAAGAACAAGGAAUUAAUUUAAUUAAUUGUAAGAAUUUUUUUUCCUUUUCUUUUAGCUUAGCUUAGAAGAUUCGAGAUUAUAUAAUUAAAAUAAAUUCAAGUUUCGUAGACUAUUACUAAAUAUGAGUUAUUUGAUAUUGAUUUCAUGAAGGAUAAUUUGGAAACAUCAGUCAUUAAGGAUAAUCAAGUCAAGCUAAGUUUGAGUUUGGAUAAUUUUUUAGAAUCGAAACAUCAGUCGGCUGAAUGUUUAAACACCUCUAUUUCAAAAAUUUAAAAUUUUCAAGUUGAUGUAUUAUGAGUUUGAAUCAAUUUCAAGUUACUUAUACAAAUCAUUUGAGCUCGGAUUAAAUAUAUUCGAACGAUUAAGUAAUUAUCAUUAAAUCAAAUUGAUACAUAUCAAUUAAAUUAAGUUUUCGGGUUCGGGUUGGAAUUUGGAAUUUAGGUAGCUAACCAUUGCCACAACUGAAUUGCUUAUGGGUUGCUCAAUUUGUCAGGAUAGGAUUACAUAAUUUUCUUGUUGAAAAUUGUGUUCUUCUUUUGCUAUCUUUUACUUUUUAAGUUGUUGGGAUAGGGUCACAAUGACUCACAAGCCUUGACUUUCCACCUGAGAGCUAAUAUAUCAGUCUUUUCUUGCUAAAGUUUCGAGUAAAUACUAUGUAGUCCUUGUUUCAGAUCUAACCAAACAUGUCUUAUCUCUGUACCAAUCACAUAUCAUCAACUUUUGGUUGAAAUAUGCUUAUAGUCCUUCUUUUUGUAUUUCUAAGAAUUUAGUCUUUUUACUUUUUAGAUUUCAAAAUUUAAGCCUAACAGUAAGUAUUGUUAAUAUUUUUUUAAUUGCAUGGUUGUUAAGUAAGUAGUUUUUUUUUUAUUUCAAAAUAUUACAGCAACAAAUUUAAUAAAAAAAUUAACAGUGUUAAUAAUUAAAUUUAAAUUUUAAAAUCCGAAACAUAGAGAGACUAAAUUCUUAAAAAUACAAGUAUAAGUUUAAAUCUACCGAAAAUAAUAUAUAUGUUCAAACUCGGCAUUGCAAUAUUUAGUCAUGGUAAAAAGCAUAUUUUCAUCUCUUUAAUAGAUAUAUUAUAUUUUGACCCCUAAAAUUUAUAAUUUAAUCCCAUGAUCUCAAAUAAAUUUUUUUUUUUGCCUUGAUAUUAUCUACCAUAUGAUUUUAAAGUAAAAUAACUUAUUUAAAUUAUGAACCACUCCAAGACUAUUAAGAGAACACACAUGUAUAGUCUUUCUCUAUCAAACUAUAUUAUCUUAUUUGUAGAAGUAAAUAAAAAUUUUAAUUUUAAUUUUGAAAAAUAUAUUCCAUCAACUCAAAUUCAAAUUUAAUUUAACCCGAUAAAAAUUUAAUAGGUCUAAAUAUCCAACUCGAACACAAAUCUAUUUAAACCUCAGCUAAUCCUAAAUUCAAAAUAAAUUAAAUCGCAAAUAUUUGAAUCCAAAAUAAUUUAAACCCGAAUAACUUAAAGUACUUUAAGUUUGAAGUGAUUAAAACUUGAAAUUAUCUAAACAUGUAAUAACUUAAACUUAAAUGUGAUACCGAAAAAUAAAACAAAACCAACCCAAACUAAAAAAAUAAACCGAAUCUAAAUUAACCCUAACCUAAAAUGUGUUGUACCAAAAUAAUUCAAAAGUUUUUCAACUUAGGUGCAAGAGAAAAUAAUAGCGUAGCCAACGUUUUUGACUUGUAAUAUUGUAAUUAUUUAAUGUAGGAAGGUUGCUUGUCUAGGUUUAUUUAAAGUUUCAACAGAUUUGGUCAUUUAAUUUGCAAGGACCAUCACUUGGCAAUUAAUUUUUGGUGAUGUGACCUUGGGGUUUUAUGAGUGGCUAAUCCCUUAAAAUGGAAAAAUUUCUCUUUAAACCCUCUAAAAUUUUGUAAGUUAUAAUUUAAUCUUUAUAAAAAUAAUGAUAAAAUUAUAUUUUUAACUCUAAUAAAAUUUUAAUAAUUUAAUUUUUCUUUAAAAAAUUUUAUGGUUUCACCCUUCUAUAUAUUUAUAACUUAACGAUUCAACAUAUAUGUAUGUAUAUAUAGCUUUUUGACUGUUUAUCACUGCUUUUCAAACAGAACCAGUGUUUGAAUUAGUCAAACCUUUUUUUUUUUUUGUCUCUCUUUAAAACAAUACUUUAAUUUUUCGAUCCAAUUAAUUCAACUAACCGAUAUAAUCCAUUUUAAGCAACAUUGCUAUUGACUGGGAAAAGAUGGAAUGAUAUAAUUAACUUUGUCAAUAAGCACAUUAUGAACUAAAUCAAGAUUCUUAAGUUAUAGAUUAAACGAAAACAGACAAUGAUUUGAUUAAACAGAUAAAAAAACAAACAAAACCCAACAGAAACUAACUAAAAGGGUUGUGUAAAAAAAAGUUAAGUAAGGGAUGAAAUUAAAAAAACAUUAAUUUCAUAUCAUAAUAAUGACUCUAAAUAGUUUUCCAACAAAUCAUUAUUUCGUUUCAUAGAAGAAAAAAAGAACCCUAAAGCCCCUGAUAGCUUUACAAAACCGACCAAGAAGAGCACAAAUGUCUAAAAGUGUGAAAGAUUUUCUAGCUGUAAUGAAAGUGACAGAAACCUAAAUGGAACAUGGAAUUUACUGCAGAUUUCAGGCACCCAACUUAAUAAAAGUGUAUGAUGUUUUGAAGUACAUAUAGCAAAACUUCAAAUCUUUAAAGCAAACUGGAUGUGUAUGAUAACGACAUAGUGACAGACAACAUUGAAAACAAGGAGCAAAGCAGCAAAUUUAGUCAUGCUUUAUGUCGGAUUCUGAUUAAAUGCUGUAUGAUCUUCAGCUGAGCUUGCAAGCAAAAGCGAUGGGGAAUUAUGUGAUAGCUCGAAAUAAUUUUUUUUUUUAAUUUGAAGGUUGAAGUUAAUAAGUUGUAUCAAAAUUAUUUAAAUUGAAAAUUUCCUUGACAUUGGAAAAGGUAUUUUUUUUAAUUAAUGAAGAAGAAAAGGGAUUAUAUUAAAUUAUUAUUUAAAAAGAAUUAAAAUUGUAAUUAUACCGCGAGAAUGGAAGCAUGUUUUGGUAUUGUAAAACCUGUGCUUAGAUUAAAAUAAAAUAAAAUAAAAUAAAAUAAUUAAGAUAAAGAGUUAAUGUCAAAGAGAUCCUUUGAUCAUGAUGACACAACUACUAUCACAAAAUUUAGAAAAACAAAAUGCAUAAUUUAGAAUUUACAACCCAACUUUUGAUUCAAUUUUAAUUUAGUUAGUGUAGGACAUAAAUUUUGUCCGAGCCCAACAAGCAAAGCCCAAAAUACCAAAUAAAUUAACAAACUAAUUAACAUCCCACUAAACCAACUACUAAACCACCCCACUAAACUAUCCCAUUAACUCCAUCACCUCACUUACCUGCAAAAAGAAAGAGGCAAUCAGUUGUAAAAUUUGGCUAUAAAAGUCAUUCAAAAUUAUUGUAAAGAGGGUUUUUUUUUGGAAAAAAAAAGGAGAGAGAUUUGAAUAGAGACUUUCAAUACAAGAAAUACACGAGAUUAAUCAAAAAUCAAAGCAAAAGAGGUAUUUUUUUCCUUCUAUUCUCGUUUUAAGUACUUUGUUUAUUUUAUUUUAUCUUUCAAUUUUAUUUUGUUUUUUACAUACGAAAGUAAAAAAAAAGGAGAAGAAGCUUACCCAUUUUGAAAUUACCGAAAAAAGAGUUUUUUUUUUUUUUAGGUCAAGCCGCCGAGUACAGUGAAUUUAUGGCGGUGCGUGGAAGUCCGGUGACCGGAGUAAGGCCGGACCGAUGGCCGAAUUUUGAAGGGAGGGGGAGAGUGUUAUUUUUAAUACAUUAUUGCUAUUAUUAUUAUGUUUCUAUUUAUAUUUAUUUUGUUAUUCUAAUACUAUUAUUAUUUAUCUAAUUUUUAUUUAUCUAUUUAUAUUUCAACUAUUAUUAUAUUUCUAUUUAUUAUAUUUCUAUUUCUAUUAAUAUACUAAUAUUAUUUUCAUUAUUAUUUUUCUUAUAUAUAUAUUUUUACUCUUGUUAUUAACAUUCUAUUUAUUUUUAUUUUUAUUUUUACGUUUUUUGUUAUUAUCUAUUUUAACUUUUUAUAUAAUGUUCAUUUCAAAUUUUUAUACAUUGUUUACUUUAAUAUUUUCAUAUAUUAUGUAUUUUAAACUUUUUUACACAUUAUAUAUUUUGAAUUGUUUAUAUAUUUGAAGAGUUUUAUAUAUUAUUUUAUCUUGAAUGGAUACUAAUCUUUUUUAAAAUUAUUUUAUAUAUUUUAGAUCACUUUUAUAACAUCCAUUUUAAAUCAUUUUUAUGUAUUAUUUGCUUAGAAUUGUUUUAUAUUUUAUUUUAGAUUUUCUUCCUUUGUAUUUAUUUGUUAUUUGUGAUUCAUUAUUAUAACAUUUUGUUUAUGAAUUAUUACUUUGCGUUGUACAUUAGUAUUCCAUCGCAUUUUAUUCGCUUAAAAGGUCGUGUUUUAAUAUUGUUUAAGUUUUAAAAUCAUUUUAUUCAAAAGCUUUCAAAAUAAGGCAAUACUCGGUAUUUGGCAUCUUCAAGAAGAUUGUGCCCUAACGAGCUGAGUUUCGAUUUUCCGUUUGACCAAAUAACCAAGUAUCCUUUUAAAAUUUCGUCCGUGCUUUCUUAAAUUAAAAAACAAGGUAAUACUUUGUGUUUGGAAAUUCGGGAAAUAGUGCCCUAACGUGCUGGGUGUCGAUUUUCCGUUUGACUAAAUAACUGAAUAUCCUUUUUUUAAGGCAUGAGUUUUGUAAACCCUGAGAGGAUCUUGGUUUCAAGGGUUUAAAAUGUCGCAUCCUAACGUAUUGGACGUGAUAUUUUGUUCUUUCAGAACAGGAGAAUCUUAAAAUCCAACUCGAGUUGUUCGCACAUUUUUAAAGAGAUCAUAUUUUAACAUUUUUUUAAAAUUUUUAACGUUAGGACAUUAAUUAAUCAAUUGGUACCAAUUUUGGGCGUUACGAGGGUGCUAACCCUUCCUCGUGCGUAACCGACCCCCGAAAUCUUUUUCUCGAAUUUCGUAGACCCAAAAUCAUUAUUUUAAUAAAUCAAAAUGUUUUAUUAAAAUGAUCAAUCUCAAGGUGAUCCGGUCACACCUCGAAAAAAGAUCGGUGGCGACUCCAUUUUUGUUUUUAAGUCGACUCCCGUUUUUCAAAUAAAAAAUAGUUUUGACAGUUAGUAUUAUUGAUAUUGCAAGAAAGAUGUGAUUCGAAUGUGUUUAAAUGAUUUUUUUUCUUUUAAUUUAAAGGUUGAAAAAAUUAUGCAUAAAAGUAAGCAUUGUAUCGAAAACUUGAUUUCAUAUCUUCUCGGUAUUCAUUUAAGUGAAUUUAAAUAAUAAGAUUAUCUGGUAUUAAUGGAAUAUUUAAACGUUACAAAUAGGAUUAUGUAGAGGAUCGACCCAUAUAAACAAUAAAAUAGUAAAAGUGGAGAAAAACGAACAUAAAUAUUUUACGUGAAGAACCCUCAAAGAGGGAAAAACUAAGAGCAAAUGAGGCAUUGACUUAUCAUUAAUGGAGUAAGGAAAACGAGAGUACAAUGAAAAUACUAAGACUCCAUUUGUUUCAUUGAAAAUGACUUCUGAAAAAUGAUUUACUUUCCUGGAAAAGUUAAUAUUUUCUGGUGUUUAGAUGAAUCUGUGUAAAUUAUUUUCUGUUGUUUGGUAGAUUUCUUAAAAAUAUUUCAUAAAAAUUGUUUUCAAUUAAACAAACAUACAUUUGAGAUUUUCUUAUUUUUUCAUUGUUUAAUUGAAUUUAUUUUUAUCUAUAAUUUUAUAUUUUAGAUUGUUUUUGCAUAUAUUAAAAAUAUUAUGUUAAAUUCAGAUUCAUUACAACGCCAUUUUUUAAUUACAUUACUACUAAGUGAGUAUUUUUUAUUUAAAAAUAUAACAUCAACAAAAUUGACAAAAAAAUUAACGAUGUCAACAAUUGGACUUGAUUUUCAACUUUGAAAAGUAAAGAGACUAAAUUCUUGAAAAUAAAAGUAUAAAGACUAAAUUACAAAUCUGUGAAAUGUACAUAGACUUAUGACAUAUUUUAACCUUUAUACUACAAAACAUUUAUUAUUAAUAUAUUUAUAAUUGUAAUAAAUAUUUAUUAUUAAAAUAUUAAUAUUGAAUAUUUUCAAUAAUAUGUGAAUAAUUUUAAAAUUUUAUUAUUAAAAUAAAAUUGAAAUAUUAAAUAAUUUAUUAAAAUAAUAAAUUAUAUUUAUUAUAUUAAUAAUUUAUUAUAUGACUAAAUAUAAAUAAUUAAAUAUGUAUGGUUAAUAAUAUUGAAAAAUUUAAUAUUUUAGAUAUUUUUAAAAAUAAAAAUAAAAUUUAUUAUCAAUAUAAUAAAAUUUAAGUUAAUUUUUAUAAAAAAAAUAAAAUUAUCUAUAGAUGAGUUUUUUUUUCUGUAAAAUGACUUACGCUUUUCAAGAGGGUAAGUAAUUUUACAGGAAAAAAAGGCUUAUUUUACUUUGACUUGUAAGUUAUUUUCCGUUGACCAAAUUAUUUUCUGUGAAACAAAUACAGGAAAAUACAGAAAACAUUUUCCGUAAAACCUUUUACAUGUAAACAAACAAACCCUAAAAUCCAAGUCUCAAAUACAAAGCUCACAUCCAAAGCUCUCACAAAAGAGGUUUCAUAAAAUUCUCUCAAAGUUGCCACCAAAACUUAUCGGCUAUAACAUCUUGUCGCCAUCCAAAAGAAAAGUUUUAUAAUACUACAUCUUUAAUUGUCUCUUAAUUGGCCUCUUUAAAUAAGUUUAGAUUAGAUUUCUAAUCAUACUAAAAUAUCCCUGAAAUAAUCAGAGUUUGCUUGGGAGAAGAAGUCCUGCUUGGAGUCUAAAAUGAGGCUGCAUAACUUGGAAAAAUCGUCAUGACGUCCCAUGCAUGCUCAUCACGACAUUGCUACCACGUUCGUUUGGGAUUUCAUCGCAUUGUCUCUUGUCUUCAUGUUGCUAUGUCACCUCUAUUUUACCUCUUUUUUGGUAAAUCGUCGAAUAUCUUCUCAAAUGCCUACAAAACGUCUAAUCAAUACGAGAUAUACCCCACAGAUUAGAAGGGUAACAUAUAUUUUUUAGUCAAAAGUAAGAAAUAAAUAACACUUAAUUUCGUUUGUGAAUUCAAAGAUUUUAUUGUUAUUAAAUCAAGUCACAUCAUCAAUUUAAAUUGAAAAAUGAUUUAAAAGUUUUGUUCAUAAAAUCUAAUAUCUUUUAAGUUGCAACACUUGCAAGCAAUAAAUUUAAACAAACUAAUCAUUUUACAGUUUUGAGGUUGGAAUAUGAUAUUAAUAGUAGUUGACAUUUUUAAUGAUUUGAUAUUUACCUAAAUGCAUUUAAUAUUAAAAUUAAAUCACUAUAAUUAAUUAAGGUUAUGUUCAAUAAAUUAUUGGAAAAAAAAUAAUUCAUUAAAAUUAAUAUUUUCAAUAAUUUAUUUUUUAAAUAAGUUAUAUAAAUCACCAAAAAAACUAUUUGAUAAAAUUUAUUUUUAUUAGAAAGUGUAAAAAAUUAUAAAUAGAUAAAUACUUACUUAUCGCAUAAUAAAAAAACACAUAAAUGCAUAAAUCAAUUAAAAUAUGCAUAAAACAAUUUCUUUACUUGUAAAUUUAUAUAAAUUUAUAAUACAUUAAAUACAUAAAACAAUACACAUAAAUUUUAGGCUUAGCUAAAUAUUAUUUUUAAAAGUUAUAGAUUUUAUUUUUAUGUAUUAUAAAUUGUAAAAAUAUGUUAAAUUUAUGAUACCCUUAUCCAACAUAAUAUAACAUCAUUCCUAUUUUAACUUUCGGAUAAACUACAUUAAUAAUCUUCCAAUUAUGCAUUAAUUUUCAUUUUUCAUCACUCAAUUAAAAAAUAAUAAUAUGAUUUUAUCACCAAUAUUUUCGAGAUUUUUUUUUAUCACUUGACUGUUAAGUGACUAACAAAAUGAUGACAUGUCAAUUUUUUUAACUAAUAAAAUAAUAAAUUUACUCUUCAAAAAUUGACUCUAAUUUAAUUUAAAAAUUAUAAAAUAUCAAAAUUCUUUAAAAAAGUUAGAGAUUUCUAUAUAUAUAUAUAGAAAAUUAUGAAAAUAUAAAAAAGGAUAAAUCUCAAAACUAUACAAAAGCUUUGACUAAAUAUGCAGUUUGACACAUGAACUUUGAUUUGGUACAAUUAUACACAUGAUUUAUUUUUUGUACAAGAAGAAAGAUAAAAAUCAUAACUAGGCUAGGCGAGGUCAAGCAAUUCUAGAGCAAUCAUCAUGUAGCAGUUGAAGAACUUUAUCUGGCAGUUGCAUGUAAAUAUACCUACCCAGAGGUCUUGAGGACGCCAUUGAUGCUAAAUCAUUGGCUACCCGAUUACCCUUUCUAAAUACAUUUGUAACCUAAACCAUCCAAAAUAGUUGGAAUAGAUAUUUAAUAACUUGUAACACAGUUGGGUGAUGUUGUUCUAUUGAAGUUGCUUGAAUCAAAUGAAUAGUUACAGUACUAUCCAUCUCAAACACCAUCCUUUUUAGCCCUAUAUUCCAAGCUACUUGCAGUCCCUCAAAAGCACCCCAAAGCUCAAAUUGAAUACAGAACAAUGAUCAAUAUUUUUAGCGAAACUAUCAAUCCAAUUGCCAUGUUGGUCAUGGAUUAAACCACUAGCUGAAGCAUUCCCAUAUACAUUACUAACAACACUAUCGGUGUUCACCUUAUGUCAUCCGUUCUUAGGUGGAAUCCACUUAAGUAAUCGACAAAUUUUAGUUUGUCUUUCCCUCAUAGAACUCGCCAUCCCAUGGUUAGAAUGAAGAUAAACAUCUCUCUGUAACUCUUCUCCAAGACACUAUCACAUUCAAUGAAAUCUGAUUAAAAACAAAUUUGUUUUUUAUAAUCCAGAGAUGCCAACAAAUAACAUCAGAAUGUUUAAAAGUAUAUAUGAAACUUUGACUUUGAUUCAAUUAUAUAUGUUUAAAAAAAUAAAAUACAUCAAUUUAUGGUAUUAUGGUACAGAAGAGCUGAGUUUUAUGGGUUUAUAUUUUUUUUAUAUAUUUUUAAGAAAAUUCUAAUUUUAUUUUAAAAAAUGUUUUUUAUUAAAAAUUUUAAAAAAUAAGGUUUAAUUGAGAGAUAAUAUAAAUGUUGAGUAUUAAAUUUGUUAUUAUGCCAAUUAAAAAAAUGACAUUAUUGUUCUGUUCGUCACUUAACAGUUGGAUGAUUAUUAUUUUUUUUUGAAAACAAUAGUGACCAAAUUAUAACUUUUUAAUUUAAUGAUGAAACGAAAACUUACCUAUAAUUAGAUUACUAUUGGUGAAAUUUACCCUAAAAAUUAAUGACACAUCAACCUUUUUCAAUUAUCUUUAAUUGGGGAUAUAUUGGAUAUCAAUUGGAACUUGUAAUUAAAGAAUUAUCUUCAUUACCUUUUCCUUUUAAUUAAACCAAAUUAAAACAUGUAAACAUAAAUAAUACAGCAAAAUUAAGAAUAAUAUUACUUACGUCUCAUUUUGGAGGGUUUUUUGUUUCCUUUUCCAAACAAAACUAAAUUAUUAAUUUUUAAACUACUAUAAUAGCAAAAGGUAAAUUACACUAAAUGUCACUAAAUUAUUAAUAAAUUUAUAUUUUAGUAAUUUAACUUUAAAAAAUUACAAAAUACUUGUUGUAUGGCUUUCUAUAUUCACAACAGCUGCACCAAUAGAAAGUUUUGAGUUUGUGAACCAAAAUCUAAAUAACCUUAUUCUCUAAUCUUCAAUGCUAACUGUCAAAUCGACUUAAUUUAAGGUAUGUUAUUGUUCUCGUCAUUGGGUACUAAUUUAUUGUACCGAUCGUCAAACCGCUAUUUGGAGCUCGCUAAUCGAACAUAAAAAGGCUUAAUAGUCUAAUAACUUAAAUAAUUUUUUUUGAAUAGUUUAGUAACUUAAAUGAAUUUUUUUUAUGUAAUUUAAGAGGAUUUCUUAUGUUAAGAAUUAUAUUAAAAAAAAUUAAAACUCAAACCUUAUAAAUUUUAUUUUAAAAAAGUUUUAUUUUAUAAUCUCUACAACUAAAUACUAAAGGAAUACCAUAAGAACUUCUCUACAUUAUGCAUGCCCAGCUCUACACUUUUUUUCUUUUCUUUAGUCACCAUAUAUGGUAAUAAUCAAAUUGCAAUUUUGAUCCCUCUUCUUUGUUCACAUUUCGGAUUUAAUUUUUAUAUUUUAAUUUAACAUAAAUUGUUCAUCUAUUUUUACAAUGACAUUAGUUAGUCCAUAUAGUUAAUAUCCUCAACAAUUAUAGUUAAAAUAUUGACGUCAAAUUUUCUUUAAAAUAUCUUUCUAGCACACACAAAAAAAUUAUUUCAUCAUGAUAAGUUUGAAUUAGUAUUUUUUUUUUAAAAAAAUCUACCCUACUAUUUUGACCAAAAUAAUUAAGAGUGUCAUAUAUUUAGAUUAACUAAUAAUAUUAUAAAAGUAAAUGAAUCAAAUUAUGUCAAAUUAAAGAAUAAUUAUUAAAAUUUAAAUUUAAACAUAAUAGAGGGACCAUAGCCAUAAUUUAACCUAGAAUAAUUUGUACUCACAAUAAUUCGUCAUUUGAUUUGAUAUUUUAAAAAAAUAUAUUUUUAAUCAAUAAAAAUAUUUUCACCCAUUAUGAUUAGAUUUAAUUGUACAAACAUCCUUAAAUUAUGACCCCCAUGCUAAAUUGGUCUCUAAAUGACAUCUCCAAACUAUGAUUAUUAGAAUCAUUCUAAUUACAUCCCAACCUAUCAAGGUUAUAUUAUUUAGGCCCUUAGAUUACUAAAAAUCGUUAAUUUAACUAUUAAAUGGCAUGCUAGAUCUUAUGUGUCAUAAUAUUAAAUGAAAACUUAAAAAAAAAUGAAUAUUGUAAAAAUGAUGUUUUAAAAACCUUAAUUUUACGGUUUUGAAACUUUUAUAAAAACUUUACCGUUCAUUUUUUUUCCCGUUUUGCUUUGUUUUUUAGUUUUUACUUUUAAAAGUUAUACAACAACAUUCUAUUUCUAUAAAAAUUUUAUUUUAAAGUCAGCUACAUAAGAUUUUACGUGUCAUUUAACGGUUUUAAUAACAAAAAUACUUGAUUUAUAUAACAUUGAUUGUUUAGGAUGUAAUUAGAAUGUUUUGAAGUUUAUGAUCAAUUUAGAAUAAUGGUCAUAAUUUGAAAUUAAGUCUUAUAAUUAUUUCAAUAAUUAUAUAUUAAAAUUUAAUAAACAUAUGAUAUAUAAUUAUAGGUUAAAAUAUGUCAUAAGUCCCUAUACUUUCAAAAAUUAUAAAUUUAGUCCAAAUACUUCUAUUUCAUGGAAUUUAGUCCCUUUACUUUUUUGGUUUUUAAAAAUUAGGUCAAAUUGUUAACAAUGAUAUUUUUUUUUAUUAAAUUUGCUACUAUGACAUUUUUAAAAUAAUAAACAUACUCACUUGGUAGUCAUGUAAUUAAAAAAUGACUUUGUAAUUAACUUGAAUUUAACCAAAAAAAUUAAUAGUGUUAAGAGUAGACCUGAAUUUUGAAAUGUGAAAAGUAAAGGACUAAAUUUUAUGAAAUAAAUAUACAGGGACUAAAUUCCUAAUUUCUAAACUUACAGGGACUUGUGGCAAAUUUUAACUAUAAUUAUAUAUUAAAAAACAGUUGAAGUCUAUAGUUCGCGCGUAAAGUUACUAACCAAAUUAAGUCUAUCUCGUGACUAAGUGCCACGUGUCAUAUUUCUAUCUUAUCCACGUAUAUCGUUUCAAAACCACAACCCCAAACGGUAUCUGGUUGCCAGCUUCCCUCCAAUUUCUCUUCUUCCUCAAUCAAUCCCCCCCCCGGCCUUGCUAAACUACGCCCUCCACCCUACUGGCGCACUUUAGCAAACGCCCUUCGCUUCCCUCCCUCUUUAUCCUCUCCAUGGCUUCUCUACCUUCAGCUUCAACCAAACCAACCUCCGUACAACUGGGUCGGAUUCAUGUCCUUAAGGAAGGGUCUCAUCCACCGCAAAAUGGUCCCGUUGUGUACUGGAUGUUUAGAGAUCAACGGUUGAAAGACAACUGGGCUUUGAUCCACGCCGUUGAUCAAGCCAACAAGGCCAAUGUGCCCGUCGCUAUAGCUUUCAAUCUUUUUGAUCAAUUCUUAGGGGCUAAAGCAAGGCAAUUAGGGUUCAUGCUUAAGGGUUUACGUCAAUUACAGAAAAGUAUUGAACAUACUCAGAUUCCAUUCUUCUUGUUUCGAGUAAGUGUUUUUAUGGUUUUUUUUAAUUAAGCCCAUUUUUUGUUUUAGGGUUUUGGCAAUUAUAGUCCAAAGUGUUUCACCAAUUUGUUUUGAACGUUCAAGUAAAUUGUGUAUUAAAUGAAUGACUUUAUUAGCAUUGUUCAUGUAAAAGGUUGUGAAUUAUGUGUUUAUACUUUAGGGAACAGCUGAAGAAACAAUACCAAAGUUUCUUGGAGAAUGUAAAGCUUCACUUUUAGUUACAGAUUUCUCACCAUUAAGGCAGAUUCGAAAAUGUAAAGAUGAAAUUUGUAAAAGAGUGAGUGAUUCAGUGACUAUACAUGAGGUUGAUGCUCAUAAUGUAGUUCCUGUUUGGGUUGCAUCGGAUAAGCUGGAGUAUAGUGCUAAGACAAUUAGGGGUAAGGUAAAUAAACUGAUUCCUGAGUACUUAAUCGAUUUUCCGACUCUGCAACCACCGAAUAAGAAAUGGGACGAUGCAACGGAUCAGUUUUUAGAUUGGGAUGGUCUCAUUGCCAAUGUUUUGAGGUUAGAAAUUUGUACAUUUGGGUGGAGUUGAGAUGAGAGUUACUUUUGGGUUGAUAAUGCUGAUUUUUUUUUAUGGCCAGGAAUGGGGCUGAAGUACCUGAAAUUGAAUGGUGCGAACCCGGAGAAACUGCAGCAAUGGAAGUAUUGAUGGGAAAUAAAGAUGGUUUCUUGACAAAAAGGUUGAAGAAUUAUAGUACGGACCGGAAUAAUCCUUUAAAACCGCGAGCUCUUUCUUGUUUGUCUCCUUAUCUGCAUUUUGGUCAGAUAUCUGCACAGAGAUGUGCCUUAGAGGCACGUAGUUUUCGGAAACUUAAUGCUCAGGUUUGUAGCAAUUGAUUCUCUUAUCAUUCUAUAGCUUGCUUUUUUUAAUGUCUGAUCCAUGGUGUUCAUUGUUUCAUCUUACUUGCUACGCUGAAGGCAGUUGAUACGUUUUUAGAAGAGUUGAUUGUGCGCAGAGAACUUGCCGAUAACUUUUGCUAUUAUCAGCCGAAUUAUGAUACUAUGCAGGGGGCAUGGGAAUGGGCACGAAAGACAUUGAUGGACCAUGCGUCUGAUAAACGAGAACAUACUUACACGUGAGUGGUUUUCUGUUGUCUUGAUCAUUCACUCUGUUUUGAGUGAAUUGCAAAUAACUCUUGAAUUUGUAGGAUGGAGCAAUUGGAGAAGGCACAAACGGCUGAUCCCGUAAGCAAACUGUUGAAUUUCAUUGUGUUCUUUGCUAUGCCGAGGGUUUUUGUUUUUGUUUUCGCUCUAAGUUUUUAUUAUUCUGCCCCUACUUUCAGCUUUGGAAUGCUUCACAGCUUGAGAUGGUUCAUUAUGGGAAAAUGCACGGCUUUAUGCGGCAAGUGACUUCUCGAUAAACUCUACUUUUUUCUUUUUUAUUACAAGUUGAGAAUGUAGUUUGCAUAUCUCUUCUCGGUUAUUUGGGAUCUGCUUGUUCUAAAUUUCAAAACCAUAUACAGCAUGUAUUGGGCAAAAAAGAUUCUGGAGUGGACAAAGGGACCGAAAGAGGCACUUGAAAUAUGCAUAUAUCUAAAUGACAAGGUAAGUAAUGAUACAUUUUCCUUCCCUUGAUAUCAAUGCAAAAGUGGCAUGAAACUCUUCGUUGCAGUACGAAAUUGAUGGGAGGGAUCCAAAUGGUUACGUUGGUUGCAUGUGGUCAAUAUGCGGCGUGCACGACCAGGUUUGUCUUUGUUGUUUUAGUUUCUGUCUUAUGGUUUGAUUCAUGACAGUGCCUCUAGUUGCCUUCUCAUUCGUGCUAUCCUACAUUUGUUUCACUGGCAAUUAAAUUAGGGAUGGCGAGAAAGACCCGUUUUUGGGAAAAUACGAUACAUGAACUAUGCUGGAUGCAAAAGGAAAUUCAAUGUUGACAGAUACACAGCUUAUGUCAAGAGACUAGUCGGUGAAAUCAAGAAGAGAAAAGCAGAAAGCCCGGUGGGUCAAAAGACAAAGCAGCCGCGCAACGAACAACAUUAACAUGUCGCGGCCUGUCUGUUGAGAAACUCUUUUAUCUAAACUCCAUGGCUGUAGUACCACUAACCAUAUUGUGUUAGAAAUGACAAUGACAUGCUAGGCUUUGUUGGUUUGGUAGGAAGUGCAAAUAAUUAUUAGUUCAUGAAAUGUAUGAUUUAGUUAUGAUUUUUCAUUUGAUGUACUGAAUUUUGGAAUAGUUUGUGCUUAAGCUAAUUUGAAAUGACUUUUCUUUUAAUUAAGACUAGUAAAUAUCUGUGAUUUAUAAAUAUUUGUACAUAAAAUGUCAUGGUGUUGGUGUAGUUCAAGAUCUUGCAUGUGAUUAUUAGUGCUUAUUAUUUGUAGUGGUAAUAGGUAAAUAAACACGGGAGUUACGUGAAAUGACAAGGGUCUCUUUUAUUUUAACCGGUGGUUGAAAGUUUGAUUUUCGCCUUGGAGUAACUGUAAAACUCAUUGCUAGCAUUUACCCCCUUAAUGAGCCCAUUGAAUAUGAAAUUCCAAUGCUAAAAGCUCCCUUAGACUAGUAUGUUUAUUUUCAUGUAAGGUCCUUAAACAAGUCCCUAUCUUAAUUUUCAAGAACAGAUCAAACUACCAAUAAAUUUGCUAGGGAGAAGAAGUGAAGAAAAAGGAAGGCAAAGAACCUUGAUUUACACAUGUUCAUGGGCUCGAUGGCCCGCUCGCUUUGGUCAUAUUGGGCAAUAAUUUUAAAAUAUUUUCAUUUAAAUAAUAUAAAAGUUUAAAUUUAUUAUUGGUGUUGGGUACUUUAAUUCAAUCAAUUUCAGCCGGUGUAAUUUUUAAAAUUUAAAAUUCUAGUUUUGAUGCAAAUCACCGUCAUUAAUCGAUUAAUUAGAUUUUCAAUGAGUAGUAUGUAGAAUUAAUAGACUAACAUGAUAUUACACAUGUUAAUGCCAUAUUAAAUUUUGAAAAUAACAGAACUUAAUGAUUUAACUAUUAUUAUUUGGCGAGGAUCAACAUUUUAAAAUUUGAAACAUACGAAGAUUAAAAAUAUCAAAUUAAAGUACAUGAACUAAUUCCACAACUUUUAUAAAGUACAAGAAUUCAUAGUAAAAUAUAACCUAAUAUAAAAUUUAUUUUUUUUCUUGAAUAAUGAAAUAGGUCAUUUUGACGGACCAAGCUCAAGUCAAGUCCUAAAAUUUUUUAAGGACCGAACCCCAACUUGAUCUGUUAACAAGUCUACCUUAACUCUCCUUUUUCCAAUGUUUUUAAAAUUGCAUUGCGCGUCCGAUUAAAAAACAUUAAGAAUUUCAAAAAAUAAAAAAGCACAAUUCAAUUGAUUCGUGUCGACUAUCAAUUUAACUGAUUUAAAACCAUUCUUCAGACAAAUACUUUAACUGAUUUCCAAUCUUACCUAUCUAACUAACAAAUUCAAACAUCCUUAAUUUUUUUUCUUAUAUAAACAUCCUUUCUUAUGAUAGUUAUGAUAGUGAAACUCCAUGGUUUUGUGUUUGUUUUUUUUUUUAAUUAGCAUGAACUAAAUUUAUUUUUCUAGGGCUACAAUGGAUGUUGGCAUUUCGCUUAAGUUUUAUGUAAUCUUUGAUUUAUUUUCUUAAUGAAUUUGAGAUUUUUGUUGAAUUUAAACUUCAUGUAUCUAAAUUCACCAACCAUCUUUUUAGAUUGAAUUAAGAUGGGUAAUUCUUGAAAAAUAAAAUCUAAGAGACAAGAUGAAGUUGUUGUUAAUAAGAGGUAUACAUGAUAUGGACCAGCUUGUGAACCAUGUAUUCAUGGGAGAAUUUAUUCAAGAAAGGCUGAACAAUCAUGUAGUCCUAAGCUAAAGAAAAGAUUAUGCUUCAAUCCUGUAGUUUUAUUUUUGAAACAAUGCCUAAAACUAUCGAUAAUGCGCUUGAGUAUACUCGAACGCAUGUCCUCCUACAUUGAUAACAAUACCCAUACCAAUUGAGUUAAGACUUAAUCGACCACUACCAUCAUUAUUAUUGAGUCUCUGCUAACUUAAGUUAUUGUAUAUUAAGUUAUCGUAUAUCCUAUAGGUUAAAAUCUAAAUGGUUAGUUUACAACAUCACUACGUUUGGGGAGUUAUCGACUAGAUUGUUCGAUAAGGACCAGUCACAGGGGGUAGACUUAGGAGGUCGGCUAAAAUGAAAAUUUUUACUUUUAAUCAUUUUAUAAUUUAUACAAUUUUAAAUUAGUAUAUGGUAAAAUUACUCUUUAUCUUUUUAAAAAUGAUAAAAAAUUUAUUUAGUCGUAAAUUAUUAAAAUAGUGAAAUUACAUUUAUACUAUUAUACAUAUAUACAAUUUAAUUUCACCAUAUUUUUACAAAAUUGAUGAUAUUUUGAAUAUUAUUAAAUAUGCAAGAAUCAAGAAUCAAUUGUAGAAAUAUGGUGAUUUUAGAAUUCUGUUAUAAAUACAACAUCAAAAUUUAGCCAUAUUUUUACAAUUGAUAAAAAAAAAUUAUAAUAUAAAAAUAGAAUGUGCAUCAUGAAUAAAAAAUAAUGUUUACAUCACCCAUAUUUAAUUAUCAAUUUUAAGUAAUGGAAUAAACUAUUUAUUAUUGGAAGAAAAUUUUAUUAUCUUAGAUAUUUUAUUUGUUUGUAACAUUACUAAAACAUUAACCAUGUUUAUUUUAAAGACUUUAAUACCAUUCAAAUAUUAAUUUAUCUCUUAAUCAUGUCACUUUAUCUCUUAAUUGUGUGAUUGGGGUUUGAUCCUCCCUUAUGAGAAUGAAAUUAGGGGUAAAUAGGAAUGUCAAUGGGGCAAGUUUUGUGGGGUCCGGCCCACUUUGCACCAAAUUGGAUAGGGAUAGGUACAGAUUUUGUGGGUGGUGGGGUGAAGAUGAAGACAGGUACAAAAAUUAGACUUGUCGUGGGUGGCAGGGCAGGCGUUAGUAUGACCUUGUACUGUCAUGGACUUAGGAUUCUUGCCUCACAAUCCGUGCGGCCUUAGGCAGUUUCUUGCUCUAAAACGCCUAAGUCAGCCUAUCUUCCACAAAAGAAGGAUUCAACAAAAUUCCUCCCAAAAACACAACUCAAACGAAAGUAACGAAGAAUGAGACAAGAACAAGCCACAGAAAAUAAGAACACAAGAGAGAGAGAGAAAUUUAAGUGAAUGCUCUCAAGAAUUCUUAUUGCUAAAAAAAACUCAAGUGAUUUACAAUGAAGGGAGAGGCCUCUAUUUAUAGUUGAGCCUCUCCAAAUCCAACGGUACAAAUCAAGUACAUCAACGACUAUGAUUAAAGGAUAUCUACAAAUCAAAUCUCUAGGAUUGCAAAAUCAUAUCUUCUAAGAUUACAUAUCAUAUCUAAGAUUGCAUAUCUUCGAAGAUCAUGUUUCCAUAUUUGUCGAGCUUGUAGAUGGACCUUCAAUCUCUUCAAGCAACGGGCCAGUCUGAUUGGGCCAAAUGACCUCAUUCCCUCUUGAUGGAUAGCACAAAUGUGUCAUGGUUGCGGGCUCCCAUGCGCAACCCAUGACAUUCUCCCUCACCUAAUCUAGCGACGCCCUCGUCGCGUCCUUCGCAUGGUAUUGAUCUAUCUUAUCUUGGAAUUGCCACAAGGCUUCAGCAGGUUCCCAACUCGUCUCACUAUCUGGAAAUCCCUUCCAUCGAACUAAGUAUUCAUGCCGCGAUCGAUAGUACUUCCGUCUGACCACACGAUCCGCCUCGAUGUUCUCGACCUCUAGAUCAUAGGAAACUUUUACCCCCAUUGGUACUCGUUCGGACUUACUUCUCUUUGGGUCUUCUCCAUCUUCAUGAAAUGGCUUAAGCAUACUCACAUGGAAUUACUGGAUGAACUUUAAGCUUUUCAGGUAACUCAAGCUUGUAGGCCACCUUGCCUACCUUCUUCACAACUCGAAAUGGCCCCUCAUAUCGUCGCACGAGUCCUUUGUGUAACCUAUCAUGUCGCAAAAUCAGGUGUAGUUUAGCAAGAACUGGGUCACCGACCUGAAAUUGCACGUCCCUUCGAUUUCGAUCCACUCACUUCUUGUUUCGCUUACUUGCCUUAUGUAGAUAAGCUCUAACUAGAUCAUUUUGCUCUUGCCAAUCCCUUACAAAUCGAUAAGCUGUUGGAUUCGGUCCCAUAUAACGAGUUGCAACAGCAUUGGGUGUAAGCGGCUGUUGCCCCGUCACUAUCUCGAACGGACUCUGGUUCGUCGCCCCACUUCAUUGUAAGUUGUACAAAAAUUGGGCCACGUCCAACAACUUCGGCCAAUCCCUUUGUGUCGCACUUACAUAGUACCGAAGAUACGUAUCCAACAAUGCAUUCACUUGUUCGGUUUGCCCAUCAGUUUGGGGAUGCAUGCUAGUGGAAAAGUUCAAGUUUGAGCUCAUUAACUUGAACAACUCCAUCCAAAACCGUCCCGUGAAUCGCCCAUCUCGAUCACUAACGAUGGACUGUGGUACUCCCCAAUACUUCACCACAUGUCUAAGGAACAAGCGUGCUGCCUCUUCAGCGGGACACUCCUUGGUUGCAGGGAUGAAAGUUGCAUACUUCGAAAACUUGUCUACCACAACAAAAAUACUCGCAAAUCCAUCAGAUUUAGGCAAACCUGAGAUAAAGUCCAUGGAUAAACUCUCCCAUGGGCGCUCCGGAAUGGGCAACAGUUGUAACAAACCAGCAGGGGCUUUCAACUCAACCUUAUCUUGUUGGCAUACCAAACAAGUUCUCACAUAGGUCUCCACAUCAUCACCAAUGUGAGGCCAAUAAAAUCGAUCCUCCAAUAGAGCUAAGGUGCGGUGUAUUCCUGGAUGGCCAGCCCAUUUUGAAUCAUGACAUUCCUUCAUGACUUCUCUUCGUAAAUUCCCAUGUUGAGGCAUAUAUAGAUGUUGCCCAUGCGUGUAUAGCAAUUCUCUCUCGAGCCAAAACCGCAUCGUCUUUCCAUAUUUGGCAAGCUCCAUCAGAUUCUUGGCCGUGGGAUCAUGGGGCAGUUCUUCUUGAAUGCACUCCAAUAAGGGACUCUCGGGUUGGCUUAUCGUUGCAAAAUUUAUUUUUCUGCUAAGUGCGUCAGCUACAAUGUUGGCACUCCCCGGCUACAAUGUUGGCACUCCCCGGCUUGUAUUCCAUGCUAAAAUCAAACUCCGCUAGGAAAACCUGCCAACGAGCCUGCUUGGGGGACAACUUUUUUUGGGUUAAGAAAUAGCUAUUUGCAACAUUAUCAGUGAAUACAACGAACCUGGAACCCAACAAAUAGUGUCUCCAUGUGCGCAAACAAUGUAACACCGCCGUCAUCUCUUUUUCUUGGACCGUGUAUCUUCGUUCCGUCUCGUUAAGCUUUCGACUCUCGAAAGCAAUCGGAUGUCCAUCUUAUAUCAACACCCCUCCAAUCGCAUACUCCGAAGCAUCCGUGCGUACCUCAUACGCCUUUGAAAAAUUUGGCAAUGCGAGUACAGGCUCACUCACCAUUGCUUGCUUCACUUGGUUGAAUGCUUUCUCACACGAAGGGUCCCAAUCUCACACUUUGCCUUUUUCAACAAUUCUGUCAAGGGUGCAGUGAUCUUAAAAUAGCCUUCAAUGAAGUGACGGUAGUAAUUUACUAAUCCAAGGAAAGACCGCAACUCCGUCACCUUGGUUGGUGGCUCUCAAUUAGCAAUUGCUCGAACUUUACUUUCAUCUAUUCGAAUCGUGCCACCUCCCACAAUAUGGCCUAGAAACGACACUUCUCGUUAGGCAAAGGAGCAUUUCUCCUUUUUGACAUAUAGCUCAUUUUCUCGUAGAGUUUGGAACACCUCCCCCAAAUGUCCCACAUGCUCUUCAAGAGUCUUACUAUACACCACAAUAUCGUUAAGAUAAACAACCACAAAACGAUCCAAGAAGGGUUGUAAUACCUUAUUCAUUAGGGUGCAAAACGUGGCCGGAGCAUUUGUCAACCCGAACGGCAUCACAAGGAACUCAAAAGACCCAUACCGAGUCACACAGGCUGUCUUGGACUCAUCCCCUUCGGCUACUCUCACUUGGUGGUACCCUGAUCGCAAAUCCAACUUAGUAAACCAUCUUGCGCUACCAAGUUGAUCGAACAAAUCUGCAAUAAGAGGAAUAUGAUACCUGUUUUUUAUAGUGAUUUUGUUUAAGGCCCUGUAGUCGAUGCACAUUUUCAAAGAUCCAUCAUGCUUCUUUUGAAAUAACACAGGCGCACCGAACGGGGCCUUAGAUGGUCUAAUGAACCCGGCAUCUAAAAGCUCCAUCAACUACUUCCGCAAUUCCUCUAGCUCGGGUGGAGCCAUCCGAUAUGGUGCCCUUGCUGGCAAUUCAGCAUUGGGCAACAGCUCAAUCUUGUGGUCCACCUCCCUCUUAGGUGGCAAUCUUUUGGGCAACUCUAUUGGCAUUACAUCUUGAAAUGACUUUAGCAACCGUUCCACUUCCUUUGGAACUUCCCCCUCAAAUUUAUCAUCCAUAUUGUCCCUCAAGGUAGCUAGGUAGGAGACUUCAUUUCGACGGACUCCUUUGGCAAAUUGGAUUGCUGACAAGGUUUUUCCUUCCAUGCUUCCCUUCCUUUUCAUUCGCACCAUAUAUCGUUUGUUCACAUCGGAGAUCGUCAUGUAACUCUCGGAAGGAUGAAUAUCCGCAUUAAGCCUGUCAAGUAAACUUAAUCCAAUUACAAAAUCGUAAUCAUCAAGUUGGAUUACCUUAAUGGUUGCUUUGCCCGUCCACUCGCCAAGUUGGAGUUCCACCUCUUUUUCCACACCCGUUAUGGGAAUGCUUUCUGAAUUCAUCGUUUUGAUUCGACCUUAAUCUUCCUCGAUUUUGAGGCCAAGUUCCUUCGCCAUCUUUUCAGACAUGAAUAAAUCAAAUGUGCCAGUAUCAACAAGUGCAUUCAAUCUUCUGCCAGCUACGAUGAUGUCCACAAAUAUCAACCCAUUACUUGACUUCUCUUCGACACCUCCUAAUAUUGAGUUAAGGCUUUUGGUGUCAUAUUCGGCUUUCUCGCGUGCCUCCAUGGCAUUGAAAGUGGCUUUCUUCGGAUAGACACUUAUUCUAUGUGGGCCUUGGUAAAGAUAGCACUUCAUUAGUCCCUUUCUAUCCCAAGGCUUACCUUGACUAGACCUUGGGACUUUACCAUUCUUUUUCCCUUGAUCCUUUUCUCCCCCACCACUGCCUUUGGGUCUCGACUUGGGCUUGGAAGAAUCAUUAUUUUCAAACUUUCUUCCCCCAACAUCGUAGAAAUUUUCUACCUCGGCUAUGGCUUCGGUCAAUCCGGUGACACUUAGGUGACGUAAUUCUUGCUUAGCCCACAUUUUUAGCCCAUGCUCGAACCAAUAGAAUGCUUCCUUCUCGUUCAAUUCUGAGAUCUGAAGCAUCAACUCGCUGAACUCCCGAACAUAAUCUCGAAUAGUGCCUUGUUGCAUAAGCCGGCGCAACUUAGCACGAGCCUCCUUUUCAGCAUGUUGCGGAUAAAACUGCUUCUUCAACUCUCUUUGGAACUCCUUCUAAGUCCUAAUAGCCGUUCCUCCACAUUUCUCAUCUGUGGACCUACGUCUCCACCAUAAGAGAGCAACAUCAGAAAAGUAAAUUGAAGCAGUGUUUACCUUGGUGGCAUCAUCCUCAAUGCCCAUUGCUCGAAAAUAUUGCUCCAAUUCCCACAGGAAGUUGUCUACUUCUCUCGUGGACCUAGCCCCUUUGAACUUCUAAGGUUUUGAAACAUCCACAUGACAUUACUUCGGUCCCGAAGCGAACAUCCCAUUUUCUAGGGCAGCCUUACAGAUUCUGAGCUCCCCCUUAAGCUCACCAAUUUCCUCCUUUAUGGCAGUCACCAGGGCCUCAAAAGCUUCGUCCCUCACUGUCAGUUUGUCUGAAGUGGAUCUGAGGGUGUCCAACACAAACUCAUUGAUAUCUUCCCUCAGUUCCUCCAUACGGAUCAGGACCACUUCGAGUGUCUCCUUCAUGUCACCGACGGACUCCUCGAGACUAACCACUCGAUUUUCCAAGCUCGACAGCAUAUCCCUCGAUCAACUAGCCUUUCUAGCCCUCCCACGGGUCUUCAUUGGCUCAUUCUGAUCAACAACUUCUUUCGACAUCUCUCAAAAGUACUUUCGAACUGGCUCGGAUACCAACUGUCACGGACUUAGGAUUCUUGCCUCACAAUCCGUACGGCCUUAGGUAGUUUCUUGUUCUAAAAAUGCCUAAGUCAGCCUAUCUUCCACAAAAGAAGGAUUCAACAGAAUUCCUCCCAAAAACACAACUCAAACGAAAGCAAUUCAAAGCCAAACAAGAUGAAUGAAGAACGAGACAAGAACAAGCCACAAAAAAUAAGAACACAAGAAAGAGAGAAAAAUUUGAGUGAAUGCUCUCAAGAAUUCUUAUUGCUCAAAAAAAACUCAAGUAAUUUACAAUGAGGGGAGAGGCCUCUAUUUAUAGUUGAGCCUCUCCAAAUCCAACGGUACAAAUCAAGUACAUCAACGGCUAUGAUUAAAGGGUAUCUACAAAUCAAAUUUCUAGGAUUGCAAAAUCAUAUCUUCUAAGAUUACAUAUCAUAUCUAAGAUUGCAUAUCUUCGAAGAUCAUAUUUCCAUAUUUGUCGAGCUUGUAGAUGGACCUUCAAUCUCUUCAAGCAACGAGCCAGUCUGAUUGGGCCAAAUGACGUCCUUCCCUUUUGAUGGAUCGCACAAAUGUGUCAUGGUUGCGGGCUCCCAUGCGCAACCCAUGACACUUGUACCUGCCUCAUCCCCACCCACCUCGCCCCAUCCUUGCCCGCCUCGCAUAAUAUAAUAAACAUAUUUAAAAAAUAAAUGUAACACCCCAAACCCCUUUCUGUCGUCGAAUUAGGGUCACGAGCAUUAGUAACAAAUCAAACAAUUAAUUCAAUUAUAAUAAACAUAUAAACUAACUAAUAACAUUAUAAUAUGCAGGGGCAGGUUACGACAAUCUAAUAAUUUCAUGCUAGAUCCUUAUACAUUUGAAUAAUAAAUUAUGCUAUGCAUUUCUAAACUUGGUCUUCCACUGUCUACAAUCUUAUCACUAUUUAUCCCUUCUAGAAUGUCAAAAUUCAGAUACAUACAAGAUUAUUCCAAUUAUUAGCAUCAGAGUAUUAGUCCAUACUCUGUUUACGAUUAUCUUUUUAAUUUAUCUUCAAUGAUGUUAGUGGAAUGCACUUAAUUUAGGUUUGCUAAUCUACUCCAAUGUAGAGUAAAAGUUACUCUUACAGCCCCUAUUACAAGUAUACGAGACCCUAAAAAUAGUUUAAAAAUAGGAAAUGAUUAAUUUGAAACAAUUUGGAAGUUUAAAAAAUAAUUACAAAACUUUUGAUUUCAAGGGUCACACACUCGUGUGGUCAGGCCGUGUAACUUUUUGACUUGAGUCACACGCCCAUGUGUGUUGUCCGUGUGUGACACACGCCCGUGUAGCCAGGCCGUAUGCACCCAAAAGUAUCUUAAAACUAAAGUUUAUCGUUUCCUACUUACUUGGCACUAAGCAACUCAAUUACCAAUCAUUCAACCUAUUCAAAACACGAUUAAACAUGCCCAAAAAACACCAAAUUCAUCAUCUAAUAUGCCGAACCAAUUUACCUCAUUGGGACCACAUUUUAUAUGUUCAAAUACAUCAACAACACCUCAAACAUUCAAAACUUUCAUUCAUAACACAUUUACCAUAUUUGAACUAACUUUCAACUUCUAAAGUUACCAAAUAUGAAGCUAAGCACAUACCAAGCAUUAUACUAAGCUACUAGACUUUAAACUAUCACAUACCAAAAUAUAAACUAGGCUAACAUACCAACAUAGCCUCAACCACAACCAUAUACACAUUUAACCAUCAAUUCACUAGCAACUAAGUUAACAACAUCUUAUAAACAAUAUCAACAAAAGACUCCCUAGGUACAUGCUAUUACAAAAUGAAAUAUCAUCACUGAGUCGGCAAUAAUUCGAACAGUACCUAGCCUGUGGACGGAAAAAAAAACUGCACGUUGAGUAAAACUCAGUGGUAUUUCUAUAAUCUAAAUAACAUAAGUUGAUUUAAGUAUUUAAAAAAGCAAAAUGCGACAAGUAAGCUUUGUUCAUGUGUUUCAAUUCAAUAGUAUAAUUUUUGCUCAUUCCUUAUUCACAUCUACUAAGAUUUUUCACAUGUUCAAGUAUAUAAGUAUAUAUCAAUGGCAUUUCAUUCAACAUUUGAAUACAUCAUCUCAUGCAAUGGCAUGAUUCAUAUCUUUGAUCAAUACUUGAAUUCAUUCAAGUUUCACAUCUCAAUUCAUCAUUUCAUAUUUCAUUUCUCAUUUCAUAAUAAUUUCUCAUAUUUUCCAUUUCAAUAUUUUCUCAUCUCAUAUUCAUUUCUCAUCUUUCCCAUUUCAUUAUUAAUCACAUAAAUUAUUAUUUUACUUUCUCCUAUUAACACGACAUAGACUCAGAUGGAUACACGAAUUCAACCAACACACUAGUUUGACACCCAGUGCCUCAUCGGAUAAAUGCGAAAUAAUAACUGUGCCCAGCGCUAUAUAAAUUGACACACAAUGUCUCACCGGUUUAAACUGAAGCAAAUUGGCACCCAGUGCCUCAUCGACUUGAGGUCGAAGUAAUCUCUAAACUCUUCCUGUCUUAUGGCAUGCUAUCUAUAUCCGACUCAGCCUGAUAUAGUUAAUAGGGAUUCAUUUCACUUUUCAAUACAACCAAUGUCUCAAUUUCAUGAACGUAUAUCAUCACAUAUAAGCAUAUAUUCAAUUUGAUAAUAAUCACAAUUUUCUCAAUACACAUAUAUUCAUAAUCAAUAUAUUUCAUAAUAUACAAAAUCAAUCUAUUUCAUUUCAAUUAUGAAUUUAAUUCAAUCCCAAAGUACCAAAGUACUCACCUCAAAUGCUUACCAUAUGCAAACAAUUAUAUAUGUAAUAAUUUACUAUUUAAUUCAGAUUAUAGAAACACAAACCGUGAUUUCCAAGCUAUUCGACGUCGAUUUUGUCCUUUACCUUUCUACUCGUGGAUUUUGGUACGACGUUAGCUUUGAAAUAAAACAAUUAAAUCACAUUAAUAUUACACAUUUUAACUUCACAUUAAAUUUUAAUUUUCACACUAUAUUUUGCUUAUUCUUCAAUUUAGUCCUUAAACCUAGACUAAUUUUAACCUUCACAAUUAACUUCAUAUUUUUAUAUUAAUUUCACUCUAGACUACAUUUAGCUUCCUCUUUUCUAAUUCGACCCCUUAAUUUUUAAUUUUUCACAAUUUAGUCCCUAUUGUUCAAAAUCAACAAUUAAUUCUAUAAUUUAGUCCUUUUCCAUUUUUAACUUAAAAAACCUAUCUAUUUAAUCUUUAAUACUUAAAAUAAAUAUUCAACAAUGUCAACAUCUAAAAUCUUGAAUAAUACUAAAAAUUACAAUAUAAGUCAGGUAGCCCUAAAUACCGAAAUUCUAAAAACAUAAAAAUUACAAAUAUAGAGACUAAAUUGUACUAACCAAUUUAGAUUUGAACGCCAAGCCCCAAGUGCGGUGCGUUCCCUUCUUUUUCUUUUUUUUUUCUUUGUUUAAUUUGCAUGCAUCCACUAUCAUUCUUUUUUUUUUCUUUUAUUAUAACUAUUAUUAUUAUUAUUAUAACAUAUAAUAUAAUUCAUGCACGUUACAUAGCUCAUGGCCGGCCACCUACACACAAACGAUAAUUAAGUGAUACAAUUGCUACUUUAUCUCCUUUAGUUUAUUUUAAUUUAUAAUUUAACUUUUAAAUUUUACGCGAUUUAGUCCCUAUACCUUAAUAACUCCUAAUUUCACAAAAUUCAUUAUUCCAAAAAUUAAUUAGCUACUAAGCUAGCCUCGUAAAUAUAUAUUUAUGGGUCUAGUUUACGAAAUGGAGUUCCAAAAAUACAUUUUUUGACACCCCUGACUAUCGAGUCGUUAUAAAAAAUAUUUAUAAAAAUUUAAUUUAAUAAUUAUCUUAAUAAUAUUUUAUUAAUUUAAUAGUAUUUAAUUUUUGCACUUGUGUUGCAUUUAAAGACAUUUAUAAUGCAUUUGAGACAUUGUCUGCAUUUGAAUAUUAUGUAAGGACUUUAUUUUUUGAAAUUUAAACUCGUGUUAAAGUUAUAUUUUAUUUACCAAUUAAAAGAUCGCGUUGACUUAUUAUUAUUUUUAAAUGGUGACAGUUAGAAUAAUGUCACAUAUGUGAUAGGAGUCUGGAGGAUAGGUAUUUCAUACUUUUUCAUAAAAAAAUUACUUUAUAUUUAUUUAAUUGAUAUUUAUAAAUAUAUUAUAUGAAGUGGGUCACAGGGUGGGUAUAACCGAGAUUAGGUUGGUCUGCGACCUACGUGGGUGGUGGGGCGAGGAUGAUUUUAGUCUUGUGGAUCAUGGGGAUGAAAAUUCUUGGCGGGAAUGGUUGUGGAGGGAGCACCCUUACACUCACCCGCCUAAUUGACAUCCCUAGGGGUAAAACUAAAAAAUUUGUAGAUCAAAAUUAAGUUAUAUAUUUUUAUCAUAAUAAAAAUAUAAUUUUAUCAUUUUAAUAAUUUAUAUCAUUAUAAUUUUUAAAAUUUUAAAUUAUAAAUUUAAUGUUAUUAAUUUAAAAUUUUAUAAAUUAUAAAAAAUUUUAAAAAUUUGUUGGAGAGACGGAACGUUGCCAACCCUUGACUUCAUUCUUAAAUAAAGCAUAUUUAAUUAUUAACUAUUUAUUUCUUUCGUAGCUUGCGGGAUUAAUAGAACCAAAUAAAAUAUAUUUACUAUUAACAUAUAUAUGGCUUCACACGUGGGCAUCGAGGUGUUAAUUAUUCGGGAGAACUCGGCCAUCUACUAGAACUUUCUUUCCAUCUCUUUCGUACAAAAUCAGAGAAACCAUAAACAUAUAUUUCUAAAAAAAUCCUCAAAAUAAUCCAUACAAAUAAAUAGACACUUAAAACAACAUUUCGAUCAUUCAUCCUAGUACUUUGGGUUUUCGAUCAUCUCCCCAAAUUUGCCUGAAUUUCCCCUCUUUUUCAUUUCAAAGGUACAAUCUUUCUCUAUUUCUUUUUGGGGUUUAAUUUUCGUUUAUGUUACGAUGAUCACGUUGUUUCUUGCUAAUUAUGUAUUAUCUUUCAGUGAUUUUUUACGUGAAAAUGUUCCUUGAAAUGGUUGGUUUUUGAACGACAUUAUCGCUUCUGAAAUGUAAUACGAUCGCUUCAUCUUUUUGUAUGUAAAUUUUUUUUAAAAUUUCGUUGCAGAGUUUAGAAGAUAAAAGAAAAUGCAGGGCGGCAGAGGCGGAAGGGAUCCAUUCUUUGAAUUUGGUGGUGAUCCCUUUGGUGGUUUUGGGGGUCAUAAAAGUUUACUAUCCAAUUUCUUUAAUGGAAGGGACCCUUUUGAUGAUCCUUUCUUCACACGUCCUUUUGAUAGCAUGUUUGAAUCAAGCUUCUUUGGCCCUGGUCAUAAUCCUUUCCCUGAUAGGCACCCAUCUGGGUUCAUUGAACAACAAGGUAGGUCUAAGGAUGAACCUCAUGUCGAGGUACCAGAUGAUGAAACUGAACAAUCUGAGAGAAGGAAUGGGCAUUUGCAGUAUAUGAAUGGCUAUAAUGGUUCAUAUCAACGACAACAGCAACCACCUCAAACUCGUAGCUUUACGUUUCAAAGCUCCACCGUUACGUAUGGUGGUGCUAAUGGGGCUUACUAUACUUCAUCCAAAACAAGGAGGAGUGGAAGUGAUGGGGUAAGUAUGUAAUGAAAUGUUCAUUUAUAGGCCCUUGUAUUUGUUUUUAUGUGUUUCACAUUCCAUUGUUGUGGUGUAGAUUACCUUUGAAGAAAGCAAAGAAGCUAACACAGCUACAGGUCAAGCAAGCCACCGGGUUUCAAGGGGACUUCUUGACAAGGUACCUCUCAAGAUGUUAUUUGCUAUUAGUGUGAUGGUAGGGUUAAUUUAUGAGAAUUUUCGAUGUAGGGUCAUUCGUUUACGAGAAAGCUGAAUUCGGAUGGUAGGGUGGAAACAAUGCAGACCUUGCACAAUUUGAAUGAAGGUAAGAUAAGAACAGUUAUAUGUGACAAUCGGGCAUGUUAUACUUGUUUGUAGAGGUAGAUAUACUUGUCCAGGGCAGUUAAUGUAUAUGAUCCGAAUCUGUGAAUGUUACACAGAUGAGCUUACUGGUUUUGAAGAAGCUUGGAAUGGUAAUGCUAGAAAGCAUUUGCCUGGUUGGUCUGGAAGUUCUAAUGUCCAUGAUACAACAGGUAAGAUUCGUCUUCGAAUGCAUUAAACAUGCUCGUUUUUGUGUUACCUAGACUUUGCGAUUUGAUUUAACCAUCAUGAAGUAUUGUCUCAGGGACAUGUUGGGGUCAGAAUGGGCAAGCGAGUCAUGGAGGACGGGCACUUCCUUCUACCGAGCGUUCUCAGCAGUCGGGAAAAGCGAUGAUGGAUGCCAAAGACAGUGCAGGGCCAUCAAGCGGCCAGAAUUCUACAAAGGCGAAAGGUUUGGGAGCCCUUAAAGAUAAGAUUUCUCAGACACUAGGGAAGAAAAAGAAUCAAGUUUGAACUUUGAAGCACUGAGUUGAGCAUCUAUAGAGUUUAUAUUGUGUUCUCUCAUAUAACAUAUGAACAUGCCCUUUUUUGGACAUAACUACCUAUCUAGUUCUUCAGUUUCCUGACCAUUGAUAGCAUAUCUUUGUCAUGUGUCUGUUUCUGUAGUACAAGACCUUUUGGUGUUGUGGUGGUUAAUGCAGAGAGGUAUAGACAAUUUCUGCAAAUGGACACCCUUUUAGGUUGUGUAUGGAUAUUACAACAUUAUAAUAUGGAUUUUUAAAUGCAUAAAUCUUUGCACGUUGAGAUGAUUACCCUUUUCAUGGUUUCUUCCUUGUGUAUUUGUGUUGGAUAUUAAUAUUUUCCUGUUGUUGAAAGCUUAAAUGGUUAAUUGAAUUGAAUUGGAAACUUCAGUUACAUUUGUAAAUUAAGUUUUAUGCCUUCUAGUGUAGGGCAGUUUUAACCUGUGCAUAAAUUUUAAAUAUUACACCAAUCUCAAAAUAAAUUGAAUCUAGGAUGAAUUAUAUGAAUAUUUGAAAUUAGUUCAUGAAACUAUAUCAGGUAUGGGUACAUUAGCUCACGGAUUGGAACAUGUACCCGUGCGAUUAAAUGUUUGAAUUUUGGUACUUGUAUCAGUGUUUAGACAAGGUAUUGCAAUUUGCCCUUUGAUUUGGUUAAAUUCUCUCAUUACUCAAAGUAAUUUAAUUCUUGUAUUUUUAUUUGUUUUUUAAAUUUCUCAUCAAAUAAUAAUUAUUAAAUAAAAUUAUAUUAUUUUUAAAAUUUUAUGCAUCAAAUAUUUUAUUAUAUGUGUAAUGUUAUAUUAAUUUAUAUUAUUUAGAUAAUUAAAUUAAUUAGGAGAAAAUAAACUAAAUUUAUAACUAUAAACAUAAUAUAAAAUUAAUAAUUAUAUCAAAAUAGUAACAAUAUAAUAAUAAAAUGUCUAAAAUAAUAACAAAACACAAGUGUAAUUUUUUCCUUUUACAAAUUUAAGCCGAGCUAAGUUGGGAUAUCCGACCCAUUUAGAUAACAAAUUUCAUUUUUUUUAAUUCCUAUUUUUUGAACUUAUAAUUUUACAUAAAUCCUUUCAUAAUCCAUAAAAGACAACGUGCCACGUGCCUUGUCAAACCAAAAACACACAUAAAAAGAAGCAACAACCCAAGCCACUGAGUUCACUCAAAUACUCCCUAAAAACAAACCCGAACCCCAAAAAUUCCACAAAACCCAAACCAGAAACAACUGCUGUGCACAAACAUUUUGAACCACAAACUCUCAAAGUUUUUGAAGACAAAAGUGCCAUUUCUAGAGUUCCAAAUGUCAGUUAUUAGGACAAGUGCUAACAAGAUUAUGAAACAACUCCUCCAUCACCCGCCGUUAUCUCCCAUCUCAUUCUCCGGUUGGCCGCUUCUUCCCUGUUCCCGUAACCCCAUCAUCCGACUGACGCCCAAUCGUAGAAUCAGUUUUAGUCCCAUUCGUUGCGCCGCACCCGAUGCCGAUGCCGACAGAAAAGUCUCCGCUCGUCUCUCGCAAAUGCAGCAGCUCCUUCAGGAAGCGGAAGAGCGAGCCAGCUCCGCCGGGAAUGAGCCCACUCCUCAAAUCACUUUGGGUAACUAAUGAUAUUCGAUAUGCUUUACUGUUAUAGGGUUUAUUUUUGUCAGAGGAAAAGUCGGGAUUUAUUUUUGGAUGGCCGAAAUUAAAUGAAAAAUUUGUAUGGACCCAAAAUUUAUUUAUUUUUAUUGUAAGCUUUAAACUUUAUGAUCUUUAGAAAGACUAAAAUCACAAUGUUAUCAUUUUAGGAGCUCGAGGUUGAACUGCAAUUUUAUCAUGUAUGAAUUCAUAACUUUUUAGAUUUUAGAGGGGCUAAAACUUAAAAUUUUCAUUUUAGGGCAGUUACAAAGAGCCAAUAAACAUUUAUGGUGCUGAAUUCUUGUUUACAGAUCAUGUUACGGUGAGUUUUGCAAGGAGUGGUGGCCCUGGUGGUCAAAAUGUAAACAAGGGUAUAUUGUAUAUAUCUUCUUCAUGUUUGAGAAGCUAUGUCAUCUCUUGUUGCUAAGAUUUAUAGUGGUUUUACUUUUGUUGCUACAUGUGCAGUUAACACCAAGGUGGACAUGCGGUUCAAUGUAAAACAGGCUUAUUGGCUUAGUGACAGGAUUAGAGAGAGGAUUAUGCAAAUGGUUUGUCACUGCCAUCUAUUAUCUUUUAAAGAAUUUAUGAUAUUGCUAAUCAUUUACUACCGAGAUAAGAACUGAAAUGAAGCUGAUUGGUACUUGUGCAUUGAAUUUACUUUUACAACUCUGUGAUUUUAUACUUGAUUCUCACAAAAUCGAGAAAAGCUCCAAAGUAUCGUGCCAUGGCUGAAAAUGAGAAGGCUUUAAGCAAUGUUUUGCAAAGACUAGCAGAAGCAAGCAACUUUUACUUCUUCGUUUUUUUUUUUCCCUUUUAUUUAUAGCUUGUCUUGUUUGUGGAGUUAUGGUAUUAUCAUCGAGCAAUGUAGCUUUUAGACGGUAGUAAUUUAGAACUGUUUGAUGAGAUCAUAGCUAAACCAGCAUAAUAGUAGCUAUGUGAAGUCCGUGGCUAGUUCAGGAUUGUUCAAGGGAACUUAAAUGGUACUUUUGGUUAAGUCUCCUGGGAAUUUGCAUAAGGUAGAAGAUAAAGUGUGACAAUAUGAUCAGAGGUCAUAAAAGUGGCAAGAAGAAAAUCACGCUAUACGGACAGAAAUGAGAGCUAGGGAAACGUGAUUCUUGAAGAAUUAUUCUGACUUUAGCGCAAAUGAACUGUAAACAGCAUCAACAUGGAUGAAAGUGCUUGAAUUUGGAGUGCUAACAAUGCUUUGUUGGUUUCAGAGAUAUGACCUCGAUCGUACUAUUUCACAUUUGCUUGCAGUUUAGAUUUCCUUUCAUCUGGUUAUGUCCAGGAAUUCUCAUCUUUCAAUAACCUAAACUCACUAUGAACAGGAAAAGAACCGUAUAAACAAGGAUGGAGAAGUCGUGAUAUCAUCAACCAAGACUAGGACUCAAAAGUUUGUCGCUCUCCUGUUUAUUUUUGUUGUUCUGUUUCCUUUUAGUGCGUUAUGUAUGUAUUCAUUUGAAUUGUAUUUUGUUCAGGGGAAACAUCGAUGAUGCUUUGGCAAAACUACAGGUUCGUUAACAGUCUUUCUAAUGCCUAGCAUUUGGUUGUUAUCCAUCAAAGAUGCAAUUGAAUUGAACGUAGUGUGAGAUUUUCAGAGUUGUAUGAUUUGCUGUUGAUCUUUUGGUUUCUGAACCUGGUGAUGACUUGAUCAUAUUUUUGUCCAUUUUGCUUGAACCAAACAGGCAAUCAUUGACGCUGCUGCUUAUGUGCCACCACCUCCAUCGGAAGAACAAAAGAAGAAAAUCGCAAAGAUGUAUGAUUUCAUUGCAUUUACAAGUGCACGUGCGCAGCUGUUUUACCUGUUUGGCAAUACCUGUGCUGAUUGCGAAUUUUUUUUGUGUUUCCAUGCUUCCUGCAGGGCUGCAAUUGGGGAGCAAAAACGCCUUAAAAGCAAGAAGGUCCUUUCAGACAAGAAAGCAUUUCGAAGAAGCCGGGACAGUUGGGACUAAAAUGUGGUGUCACAACUCAUCAAAGUUCAUAGUGUCUGAAGAUCAUUGAAUCUUAGUCCAGAAGUAGGUGGCUGGAACGGAGCUUGAAGGAGUAUUUCGUCCUUAAAAGUUAUUCAUGGUUAGGCAAAAGAGCUACCAUCUCUUGAUGUAAUAUAACCAUAUAUCCAACAUAGGCUACCGAGACACAUCAUUGUUAUAGACAUUACACGCCAAAAUUUUUGCAUGGAAACCAUUAGUGAUUUAUUCAAUGAAGUAAAUAUGAAUGUUCUAAGGUCUAAAAUCUCUCAUCAUGUUAAGAAUCAAGAAUCUAAAUACAAUUCAACAAAUAAAUGAAUGGUCUCUUUUUCAAGAGGAGUAAUUGGACAUUAUUUUACUUUCGCAUGGCAAAUUCUUCCCCCGUUCGUCGAUUGACAUGCUUGAUCCACCGCCUUUUACCUUCACUUGAACUCGAAUUUCCACCACAGGUCCCUAUAUGUGCUAUAUCCAAUCCUUCCCCAACCGGAAGAAAGAUGGAGCGUAUGAGCCGAUAUGAUCCAUCAUCGACAACAUUUCUCCAACUGAAACUUGAGGUACUUCUGGGAUUAGUGUUCUUGCAUGCCAUAACUGCCCCCUUGUUAUUAAGCUUUGCUAGCUUCAAUACCCUGGAAAAGCGAUUUUGCUGACUAUCCACCACCAGGAAAUCUAUGCCGUUUAAUUCACUCAUUAGCUCCUCAGGCUCGCCAACAAUCACUUCCGGUGACAUGCCGGCCACUUCCAGGACUUUAACGUAUUCUAGUCUCGAUCUUUCAUCCGGAACUAUACAUACAUGUCUUCCAUUUGUAUGUCUACAAGCAACAGCUAAACCGAUGCUUGUCGCGGUACCUCCACCGUGCGACCACGCCUCCACAAUGAAGCUCACAUUCCACCCUGCAGCCAUUGACGAAACAAGCUCCGCUAUACCAGAAUCAUUACAAACACCACACUGCAAAACAAAAACAAUUAACCAGGAAUCAAUGAAAUAAAAAAAUUUCAGAAAAUUGCUUAAAUUAAAUGCUUACAAGUUCAACAGUAUCAAUAUAAGCCUUGGCUGCUGUCUCGGGACACCAAACCAGCUUCAUUUCUUAAACGUUUUUCAAGAUAAAUCCGAAAAUGAAAAGAACGUAAGGUGUCAGGUUUUUUAUUGGAGACAAAACAAAAUUUUAUAAAAACUGAUACGUGUUGGGCCGUUUAAAACAAAACAGGACAAAGACAAAUCCAACGUGUAGAUUGUUUCAACCAUAACUGAUGUGAAACAACCUGGUUAUUUCAUGACCUUUGAAAUUGUCUGUUUCAAUAGUACAUUCAUUGCAGAUAACCCAAAUGAUCAACGGAUAUUUCAAAGCAACAUUUCUCGGUGCUUGGCCUUGAUUUUUGGCAACUUGGGUUUAUUAAAAUUGAUUAUUCAAAAGAGAUGAAAGGGAAGUAUUUACGCGGCUUAGCCUACUUUGAGAAAAAUAUUUAAAGUUGAAGUUAAUGCUAGCCUGUUUAUCAAUGGAUUAAUCAGUGUUUUAUACGUACAACCUUGCUUGCUGCUUGUUUUCAUGUUUAUUAGCCGUUGUUUAGAUACUUUUACAUGCAUAAUUUUCAUUAUAUUGAUGUCCUUUUCUGUAUAUCCUCAUUUCAUAACCUAAUUCCGUAUAUAUAACAAGUUGUCUAUUUUUCACUCUUUCACACGUGUUAUUUAAUUUUAUUUUACGAUUAAUAUUUUAAUAAUUCGACCGUUAAAUUUUUAUAAUAUUUGUAUUUAUUAUGCAUGAAAAUUUUUGAAUUUAUCUUAGAUCUCUAUCAUAUUAAUUUAAAAUAUGUCUAUAUUAAUAUAUAUUUAACAGUUGAAAGUUUUUUUUAUAUAAAAUAAAUAUUUAGAAAAUUUUAAUUUACUCCAAACGUGACAUGCAUAAUUUAUAUGAAUGAAAUAUGAAAUAUGACGGUUGAAUUAUUAAAAUAUUACUAAUACAAAAAAUUUUAAAGUGCAUAAAACUAGAAUAAUUUUAUACCGGUAUAAGUGGAUAUAUAUAAAAGAAUAUUGAAUGUUAUUGUGUAAAAGUAAUUGUCUAAACCAAAUCAAAAUUUACUACUUAAAUAUACAAAGAUAUUUUACUUCGAUGAGUUAAUUCAUAUUUUAAAAUUUUUAGAUAAUUUUAGUUUAAGCUAAUUUUGAGUUUGGGUCAAUUUCGAGUUUUAACUAUUUUAGGCACAAAUCAUUUCGAUUUACUUGUUGAAAUCAUUUAGAUCCGGAUCAUCAUAUUUAAGGGUGAAGGUAAAAUUCUUUUGAGGGGUAAAUUAAAUUGUAUAUUUGUAUAAGAACUCCAAUACAAUUACACCAUUUUAAUAGUUUAUAUCUCUAAAAGAUCAUCGUUUUAAGAGCUAAAAUAUAAUUUAAUCAUGUACUAACCUAAAAAUUUAUAUAUUUUAAAAGAUUAAAAGUGAAAAUUUUCAUUUUAAGAGAUUAAGAUCUUUAUCACCCUUCGACAGUUCCUAAUUAUAUUUUCAUAUUAAUUUAUAUAUAGUUAAUUCGAAUAAUUUGAGUCAAUUUCCAGCUCUAACUCAUUUCUAAUUUUAAUCACUUUGGAGAUUCAAAGUUUUUACAAGUUUGGAUUGAGGUCGACAGCAAUAAGGCAUAUGUAGGAUGUGAUUUUGCUUCCAUGUGAAUGUGAGUGUGAAGACGAUGGCAGCCCAUUUAUUGGUAGUGUGAAUGUUGGAUUUUAUUUUUGGCACGCAAAAUAAAUAGAAAGAAAAUAUCUAUUCAAUCAUCUUCACUUAAUUUAAUCAUAGUCUUCGUCAUCCCAAAGUAAUAAAAAUUCCAUAAAUUAAUAAUAAUUAUAUAUAAAAUUAAUUUAAUACUACCAAAUCAACAAUGUAUUAUUGUAUGUUUUAAUUAAAUUAAUGUUAGAUUUAUCACUUAAAUUAUAUCAUUUUGAGAAUAUUAUUUUUUAUUUUUAUAUAAAUUAUAAAAAAAUAAAAAAAUUAAUAUUUAUCCCUUAUUUAUUUUUAUAUUAAAUUUAUUUGUUACAAUGAUUUAAUGUAAUUUAAUUAGUCCCAAGUGGAGGCAAAAUGAUGAAAUUAAUGAUUAAGUUUUUGACAAAUAUUAAGUCUGUUAUUUACCACUAAACUAUAGAAAAAGAUUAAAAAUUAGCAGUUGAGUUUGAGUAUAUAAUAUGUUGUCGUUUUCAAUGUUGAUAUUAAGUAUAUAUAUAUAUAAAGAAUUUUAAUGAUGAUGAAUUGGAUUAAGCUUGAAUUUCACUAGGCUCCAAAAACUAAACGAUUUUGCUUUGAAUACCUUGCAUUGAAUAAGCUUUGCCAAGUCAGAUGUUCUUAAUUAUUGGAUUUGAGUUUCUUUGGAUAAUAUUUCUAAAUUUGAUGUUUAUCACCAACAGAAUUUCUUAUUUAAAUAUGGUACAAUUCUUUGCGAUUUAUAAAUUAUGAAUAAAACUCGAAAGAAUUGAGAAUUUUAUAUAAUUUUUUUAAAAAAUUUAACUUGAAUUAUUAAGAUUUAGUUUAGUUUAAAUCGAAGAAAAUUUUAAAAUAUUUAAGAUUACUUGACACUCAUGAAUGUCGAGAUUUCUUUAAAAAUUCAAAGAAACUCCUAAAUAAGAGAAAAUUAUAUAAAUUUAAAUUAACCUCACUACUUGUGGGUGUCGAAAUCUUAUCCCAAUUGUUUCUUUUCUAUUCAAAAUCUUAAAAUCCUUUAUACAUCUUCUAUACUAUCUUGUAUACCUUAAAUUUUCUAAAUUUAUUUUUUAAAGUUGUAUAAUGGUUGCUCCCUUAUUGAAAUUGGAAGAACAUGUUGCUUACCAUGUAACAAUAAUGGAAAGAUCUUUAGUGUCUUGAUGUCGUAGUAACUUAGAAAACUAACAUUUAAGAGAUGGUAAUUUCUAUCAUGUUUGUCAAGUUGGGAGAUUUUAUUUCCGUUCUAGUAUUUAUUUUUAUUUUGAUUGAAUGAUAGAGAUCUGGUAUCUAUAUAUUUCUUCUCUACAAUAAUACUAGAAGAUGUAGCGUUAUUAAUGAAUCUUUUAGUCCACGACCUACUAACAACAGAAAAGUUUGCUAAUAAAUUGGCAACUAUACUAGUUGAAGUGCUCAGAAGGGCACUGACUAUAGGUUCCAACUCCAAUGGUUUUUAAAUUAAUUUUACAUGGUUAAGGAGGUACUUCAGCCAGCUCCCACAACAUCCAACUCCUUUUAAUAUUGAGCGUCUUGCUGGAGCUUACAUCCUCCCAUUGAUUGGAGGUGUGAUGCUGCCAUAAAAGUUUAACAAAGUUCAUUCAACAUAUCUCCCAUCUUUAGCUAAUUUCCUAACAGUUGAAACAUACAAUUGGAAGGAAGUCUACGAUUAUGACAUGCCUUUUAUCAGUAUCAUGGUAAGGAUUUGCUAUGGAUACAGAGAAAAGAGGAGCGCAAUUUGUUGUAUGUUUCGGGCCAAUUGUCUUGGGCAUAACUCAGAGGUUGUAGAAGAAGAUAAUUUUGCACCAUACUCAGUUUAUAACAAAUAAUUGAAGGCUUACAGUAAUCCAUAUCUAUAUCAACUGAAAGAUCUUCCUCACUUUCCAAGAAUUCAUGCAAUCUCAUGGCAUCGAAAGAAGAAGAUGAAAGUGUGUGGUGAAGCUGCCAAAGUUGGCCAACUUGAUGAACGAAGAAAUCUGUGACGUCGUGAUUAAGGCAGAGGCCAUGCUGCUUAAAUUGCUUAAGCUCUCAUAUAUUUUGAAUCCACCCAAGCUCUCGUACUUGGUGAACUUACCCAAGCUACACAACUUGUGCAACUCCUAAUAUAACAAGGAUGCCUAUGCUUGAUUUGUCAAGCAUCGACCUUGAAUUUGUGUAGUUCAAACACCUGUACAUGUAAAGGUCAUGCUAUAUCUGUUUACAAUCUAGAUCAACUAAGUAUAAGAAUUCAAAAAAGAAUCCUAAAAACUGACCUCGAUAAUCAAAUAAGAUCAUCUCAUUAACAACAAAUUAUUCAAAUACAAAUUUGGCUAUGAGUUAAAAAAAAAAAACAAACUCCUCUUCCAUUUUAAACAUAUUUUUAAAAGUAAAUUAAAAAAAAACCUAUUUUGAAAAAAAUAUUUUUUUACGAUAUUGAAAUAAAAUACAAUGUCCGUUUGAAUAAAUAAACUUAGUUGACGUGACAAUAUAAUAUAUGGGUAAACUACACAGUUGGCAAGGACGAAUCUAUUUUUUUUUUGAAGGGUUAAAAUUGAAUUACAAAUUUUUGAGAUGCCAAAUAUAGAUUUUAUCAUUUUUGAAAAGAUUAAAUAAAAUAUUUUUCAAUUUUGGGGGCCAAAACAUAAUUUUCUCUUACAUUAAUUUAUAAUUUGAUAUUUUAUCAGGAGAUAAGAUUACAAUUUUCUAAAAUUUUUGGGAGGGCCUAAAAUGUUUGCAAUUUAAACAUUGUCGUUACACAUUUUUAUCAUUUUAGUCAAUGUUAUUAUAUAAAUUUUUCAUUUUAAUCAAUCCAUUAUUAAUUUACCAUUAAAUACACUCAUUUUGAUUAAUUUUUUUAGAAUUAAUUUUAGUUUUAGAAAAAGAAAACCUGAAGUUUUAUAAGGAAUAAAUCAAUUCUUUAAUAGCCCAAGUCUUCAUUUGAUUAAAAAUAAACUAAAAUCUACAAAAAAAAAUUAGUGACGAACUAAAAUUAAUGUAUUUAAUAACAAAUUAACGACCAAGGAAUAAAAUGAUAAAAAAUAUAUAAUAACAGUGUCUAAAUUGUAAUUUUUUAUUUAUUUUUGGUUCCAAGAACUUAUCAACUAUGUACUUUACCCUAAUAUAUGCCUCAAAUCCAAACAUUUCCAAAUCUCAUUAAGGAAAUUCGUCGAACAUCUGUUGUGUGUGUACUUCGUAGUAAUCUUGCUCCAAACGUGUUUAUGUCACGAUCCUAAAACUUGAACGAAGGCUACGUGUGAACCUGCAUACUAACUUAUAACAAGUAUUACAAACCAAACCUUCAUCCCAAAAGGACUCCAAAAUGAACCGUUUCAGGCCUUGUCUUCUCAUCCAUCAUCGUCACCUUCACCAACUUCAAAAUGCCGCUCCUCUUUGCUCUCACUUAAAGUCCCGGUCCGUAAUACGAUUCUCAGGACCCGACACCAUCAAAUUCCUUCAGGGUCUUUUAUCCAACGAUGUACGGAGGUUCGGUGAAUCCCCACAUGAAGAUAACUCGCCCGUAGUUCCGCCUAUGUAUGCAGCUCUUUUGACUCCUCAAGGAAGGUUUUCGUAUGACUUUUUCUUGUAUAGACAAUCCCGGCCGGAGGAGAAGCAGGACAGGAAUGGGUCGGUGGAGAUUUUGGCCGAUGUUGAUGGGUCGGUCUUGGAUGAGUUGUUGGCUAUUCUUAAGAUGUGGGUAUUUUUAGUUUUUCUUAAAGAUUGUUUUUUUAUUUAUUUAUAAUUUUGAUUGAAUUUAGAAUUUCAAAGAACAGUUUUUUUUUUUUUUUGUUGUUUAAAGAAGAUAAGUAAUUAGUAUGCUCUUGUUUUUAUAACUCACAAUCAGCAUGAAUUCUAUAUUGUUUGUUGAAUUAAAUCUAAACUGUUCUUGUAUCUCUUAAGGCAUUGAUCAUUAUACCAACUAGUGUGAUGUGUGCUCGUCUUUUAUAGUAAUAGGAACUCUAAAAUUGCUGUUAUUGCUUGUUGCAUUUACUUAAUGUUGCAGAUACCGGUUGUGGUCUAAAGUUGAUAUUGAGAAUGUGGCAGAAGACUUCUAUUGCUGGCAGAGGUAUGGUCGGGGUCUGUCUGAAAAAUACCCCAUCCGUUGAAGAACCAGUGGCACCUUCAGUUGGUUGGACGGGUGGCGAUGAUCGUUCUGGCAAUUCAGCUUCACAUGGAAAUGGUGUUGGAUGGCAAUGGUUUAAGGAUCCUAGAUUGGAUUGUCUCGGUUUUAGGGGAAUUUUCCCAUCUGGUACCACGCGUGAGUUCACCGAACUUUCGUCAUUGGCUUUGAGAUAACAAUCAGUUUUAAGAUGUAUUGUUUCGUAAGAGUCGCACCGCUCAUGCAUGCUACCUAUUUGUCACUUAUAUGUGUUAUUUUCUCUGUUGCAGCACCUUUAGUUGAGUCCGAUAAAGAAACGGAUGAAGAGAAAUACCUUUUGUGGAGAUUAGAAAAGGGAGUUGCAGAAGGCUCAACUGAAAUUCCAAAAGGUGCUUGUUUGAUUUGCUGCUAAUGGCGUACUUAAGUUUCUCGAAUAUUUCUUGCAUGUUUCAACUUCGAUUUUAUAGUUUGCAUCUGCUUGUGACAUUGUUAUUAUGUUGUUUAGGGAAGGCAAAUCCACUUGAAUACAAUUUUGCAGGCCUAAAUGCAAUCAGCUUCGAUAAAGGGUGCUAUGUCGGGCAAGAGCUUAUAUAGCUCGUACACACCACAGGGGGGUUAUUCGCAAACGUUUGCUUCCUUUAAAGUUUCUUGAUAAUAAUGGAAAAGGUAAUCUCCCUCGGGUAGGAUUUGACAAAGUUAAUUAUCUUUGCAACGACACGGCUAACACCUUUCUGUUAUUUCAGAGGUAGAAAGGAAAGUUACUGCUGGUUCGGAGGUGAUUAACACUGCCUCCGGUAAGAAAACAGGGAGUGUGACAACUGCAUUUGGUUUUUGUGGAAUGGGUGUCUUGCGGCUAGAAGAAGCCUUCAAAGGGUCUGAUUCAUUGACAAUACUGGGACAGGAAGAUAUAAAGGUUGAAGCAAUUAGAGCAGCAUGGUGGCCCUCAGAAUGGUUUCGAGAUCAGCAACAUACAGCAGUCGCAUAGACUGCCUUACAUGCAUUGAUAAGUUCACCAGGUUUUCGGCCUGGCUUGGCUGUUCACAUGGCACAAGACACCGGAACAAGGGGCUCCUCCACGUGUCCGUGUUUCAUAGAUUUUAAAUUCUUCUAGAAGAGAGCUUUGAUGCCAUUUUGUUUGAAUUUCAGUUUAACUGUAACUUCAAGAAAUAGAAAUAAAGGCAAGAAGAAAGUAGAACAUUUGCAAAUGCAAAUCUAUUUUUCAUUGAAUUAAAAUAAUGUUUAAAUAUAAAAAAUCCAACAACCAUAACCUCGGAUUAAGUAAUUAUAUUACACGUGAUUUCAUGAUCAAUAAACUCUUAAAAAUUAUCAACUCAGUUAACAAUACUAAAAUAGCUAACAAAAAACAUGAGAAAAAUCAGUGAACAACAACAAUGAGAAAGAAACUGCUAAGUUAUGUUCUAUUUUACACCAGUUCUCUGAAUUUCCAAACAUUAUUUUGAGUAAUGUACAACGAGCAAACAUAAAUGGGAAGCAAUGAGAAGAUAAAGAACUCCCAAGUCACCUGAAGGACUCCGGUGGCUAAAAUGUGUUGAUUCUUCAUCAAUGUUGAAUCUUGGCGACCUAUGGAAAUGACUUUUGCACUGCUGAGUAGCUGAUCAUAUAGGCCGUGAUAUUCUGAACUUUCAGGAGCCGGAGGUGACUGGCUUUCUUUGGAAGUACUUUCGGGAUUGCCCCCAUUGCCGUUUGGUUGGUCAUCAUGAUCCUUCUUUUCAUCAUUCUCUUUGCCGGGGCUCCCACCAGAGCCAUCUUUUGGGAUGGUUCGAACCAA
rnacentral:lncRNA from 1 species